CCCUGCAGUAAGAGUCACAACUGAGGAUUGGCAAAACACCAGAUUAUUGGUCAAAUUUUACUUCUGUAUUCCCUUUUGCCAUUAGGAGAGUAGUCCUAUGUCCAUCACUAAAGUUCUCCCAAACAGAACACUCAUUAUUUUCUGCAGGUUCAACCACAGGUAUAUCUCAAUUCCGAUUGAAGAAUGUAAACUAUAUUUGGUAGAGUGAAGGAAGCUAGUUAAAUGCUAUGUGAUUAUGAUGGUUGAAAAGGUGGAAUUAGUUUGUACUUUUUUGUACCUACAAAGGAGUAAACUUUGAGGUCAAGUUUAUAUCGGAGAAGGAAAAAAAUGGACGAAAGGUAGCACAAUGGUGCACAUCAGCAUGAAUUAAACAGAGAGAAAUAAUAACUUUAAGUUUCUCUUCCUAAAAUCAGGAGUCCACUAUUCUCAUGUUGAAUAAUAUCAACUAGAUUUUUUUGUGCUACCUGUAAGGCUCUGUAAAGUUUGUUCAAGUUCCCAGCAAGCCAUUACUGCUUCCAUUGCAUGAACACGCACAUGUUGCUGUAGUUGUUCCUUGAACGAACAAAGGAGCAAUACAUAAUGGGUCUGCAAGAAAAAAAAACAUUUUUUUAUUAAGUAAAAAAAAUUGCCUUAGGAAGAUUGUCAUUUCCAAGCAAAGAAGAGUACCUGAUAAACAAAAUGACUUUUUAAAAAAGAGGCAACUGAUCAUAAACUUAGCUAACAGAAAUUGUAUGCAAGAAACAAUAUUAAUUGAUACCAUGUUCCCUUUAGCUUAUUCACCGGAUUACUGAAAACGGAUUAUUUGCUCCAUGCUUCAAAAGAAGUAUUUUCUCAAAAAAUCUUUCUUCUAGUAUAUUACUUACUUAGACCACUUGUUUUAACCUAUUUGUUAAGUUUAUUUAUUGAAAUAUUUAAUGUAUCCCUAUGACGAAGGACAUAAUCCACAGCAAUAAUACACUCAAUAAUCUAAAUCAAACAAGGACUAGAUAAUGGAAGUAUAACUUAGAGCUUCUUCAACAACUAGCCAACUAGGGAUGCAAACAAACACCAAGGAAUGAGAAAUAAGUGAUGAAUUUUAGCAUAUUCAAUUCAAAGGACUAUAUUUCAAAAACGAUGGUCGGAACCAUUGCUACUCCGACAAAAUCAAUCCAACCCUUCCAAAAGUCAAAAUUUUGGUGAUGUUUUUUCUACAGGGUUCCUUCUUUGUGGACCGCUCUGUUGUACACUUGUACUGUACAUACUUCUGCUGCUUCUUAAUGAAAUGAAGCUUGAGUUUUCGAGAAUUAUUUUUUUCCUUCCAAAUUUCACUCCUAAUUCCACUAGCCAAUUUCUUGUAAAUACUCUCUCCUCCUUAAUAUAACACCAGCUUAUCCUGGCUUCGGUUUCAAAAAAAAAAAGCCAAUUUCAUUUCCCUUUCCAGCCCCAAUUUUCGAUAUCGCUCAUCCAGAAUAAUAUUUCACAUACCAAUCGUACAAGAAACUCUCACGCGAGGAGAAUUUGAUCGCAAAAGCGAUACAGAGACACACCACGCAAACCUCAUAGCUUGGCAAAAAUAAGAGUAAAACGCCCUGGAGAAAGAGAGGGGGGGAUUUGAUUGGCGCUACUACUACUACUACUACUAAUAAUAAUUUAGCCCUCACCAUGAAGAGGUCGAGCUCCUCGCCGCCGGACGGCGCCCCUCCGGCCGCCGCGGCCGCCGCUGCGGCCGUGGCGGCGGCCAGCGGCGGGGGGCGCGCCGCAAUCUGCGCGUCGAUGCGGGGCAGCUGGUCGACGGGGGUGGCGACGCGGAGGCACGCGACGUGCGCCUCCAGCAGCCGCUCGUACAGCGGGUGCGCCGCGAUGGCGGCCUUCUCCCGCUCCCACCCUCCUCCUCCUCCUCCCCCCACAACUCCUCCCGCCCCGACGAACCCAGGGUGGUGGUGGCCGCCCGUCUCCGCCGCCGCAGCCGCGGCGUCCAUCGCCAGCGCGUGGUCCUGGUAGUGGAACGCCAUCACGCGCACCGCUGCUGCUGCUGCAGCGCGCGAGGUGGAGGAGGAAGACGAAGACGAGGACGAGGACGAGGACUUGUUGUUGUAGCAGUUGGGAGGGAGGGAGGGAGUGAGUCGGGAGGCUCCUCUAACUUGUGUCACUAACAUAUGGGCCCUCUAUUUAAUGGGCCCAUAUAUCGGUGACUCAGAGUUAGAGGGAAGUAAGUCAGAGGAUCUUCUUCGGGAGUGGGAGGGGACCGUAGAGGAGCGAUGGGAAUAGGAGGAGCCCAUUUCAGUUUUGCGCGUGCACGUGACUCAUUUGCAAAUCGCAGGAGUAAAUUGCACCGUACUCCUCCCUCUAUCAGAAAAAUAAAGAAAAAAAAAUCAAAAAUCAAAUUUUGGGGGAGGAAUCUAGACUCCGUGUAAAUUACUCGAUCGGUUUCUUAAUAUAAGUUGUUUGAUUUUUUUUUCUAAGUUAUAAACUUCAUUAAGUUUGCUUAAAUUUGUUGAAGGAUUUAACAAUAUCUAAAAUGUAAAUUUAGUUUUGUUAAAUUAACAUUGAAUAUAGUUUGAUAAUAUAUUUGUUUUGUGUUGAAAAUGCUACUAUAUUUUUUCUAUAUAUUUGAUCAAAUAUAAAAAAGUUUGACAAAAAAAAAAAGUCAAGCGACAUAUGAGUUGUAGUUCGUUUUAUUAGCGUUACUAGUACUACUUAGUUGUGCCUAGAAAUUGAAAAAAUCCUUUAUUUCGAGUAUAGGAUCAGGCGUGCACACACCACACUCACACGUAUUUACGGGGAUAUGUUCUAGUAGCUCAUGCUUGAACGGGAUUGGAACUAUUACCCCACGGAGUGAAGGUGUGCAUUAGACGCUCACAGCGCGGGCACCCACCUUCACGAAGUCACAUAUUACAUCCUACUCUCCUAUAAGUACUCACCAUUCUCGUAAAAAAUCAACUAGUAUUAGAUACGACCUAGUACUACAAAUUUGGAUUUAUUUAUGUCCGUACUAGAAUGUAUCACAUUCAGUCCUAUAUUCGCUUUUUUUUGGACGGAGAGAGUACAUUUGAAUAGCUGGACUGGGAUAUCCUGGUAUUGAUGAAGUUACCAUGAAUGUUUUGUUAUCCUCUACCACUGAAAGAAUAAUUAAUAGUUAAUACGAGCACAAUCUGAUUAGACAUAUUCCAACCUAAAAAUCUAAUCAGUUUAACUAUGCUUACUUCGCUGGUAUGCAUUUUAUGUAGUACUCCUAAGAGAUUUUAUGGUAAAACUAAGACGGUUUCAAAAUAAAUUCGCGUGCACGGUGUACGUGAUUUCUCCAAAAUUUAUUUCGGCGCUGUAAGGACUUUGCAACGGUGUUAUUUUGAGAAAAUAAAUAAAUAUUGGAAUUGCACUUAUUCAUAUAAAAAUUAUAAACUAUCGUACCCUCUGCAGUGACUUUGAACGUGAAGGUGGUUUCUAUAGUAAAAUCUCUCACAUCAGCGAAGGACGCAUCAUUUUCUCAAUAAAUAAUACAGAGAAUGAACUGUAUAGUACGACGAUGAUGAUUCCCAAUUAAGCGCUGAAAUUUCCAGUUAACCAACCGAUUGAUGAUUCAUGGUUGCUGGGCGUUAGGGCACUACGGUAUCAUCAGACUUAUUUUAUUUCCUUCUCAAACUUAAUAGUGGCGUCCACAUCUCACAAACACAGCUCUUCAGUAUAUAGAUCAGAGAUGUGCCUGAACACCUGCACAAAUUAACCCAAGCUCCAACAGCUUGUGUUUUCUUCUUUGAAAAAUAACAGCUUAUGAUUUCAAGAUUAUUAAACAUGUGUAAACACUGGGGCAAGAUAUGUUGAUAUAUGAUCUGUUGAGCCACAGUUGAUAAGACUGAAAAGAAGAUAAACAAAGCAACUAAAAUUAUGAAUAUAACCCUUAUACAUGUACAGUAUUAUUUAUGCCAUAAAAGUUGAGGCUAGGAAAUAUACCAUGAUAAUAAAAUUCAAAAUCAACUGUAAAAUUAAAUUCAAAAUUUAAUAUUUGGAUGUGACUAAUAAACCAACAAUCAGAUGAUGAAAACAAUAGCUCUAAGUUUUUUUUCGAUGUGACUAAUAAACCAACAAACAAUUUUUCGGGACAAAACCUAAGGCUGAAAAAUAUGGUAAGACGAGAAAACUCAAAAUCAGCUUUAAAACCAAAAUCACAAUUUAAAUUUUAGAUGUGGCUAACAAGUACUAAUAGACAAUAAUACUAUCUCCGUUUUUAAUAGAUGACGCUGUUGACUUUUUAUCACAUGUUUGACCAUUCGUCUUAUUCAAAAAAUUUACGUAAUUAUAAUUUAUUUUGUUAUGAGUUGUUUUAUUACUUAUAGUACUUUAAAUGUGAUUUAUAUCUUAUACAUUUGCAUAAAAUUUUUGAAUAAAAUGAAUGGUCAAAUAUGUGAGAAAAAGUCAACGGCAUUAUCUAUUAUAAAACGGAGGGAAUAAGAACUAACAAACUUUUCAUACAGUGGACUUGUCCACUUUUGUUUCUUUUAACAAGUUGGUCUGAAUCUUUGCCGCUAUCUACUUGAGGGUAAAAAGCACAGUGGAUGGCAGUGGGAAUGGAAAUGUGAUAUUUUCCGUGACCGGAAGGAAAAAGCAGGGACAGCGACGAGGAACGAAAGAUGGACCACGCGAGUGGGCCCCACCUCUCGCACAAUAAACGCCCUGCCUGUCCAAUAGGACAUGGACGCGUCACCGCCGAUUUCUGUGGAGAUCGCCAUGCCAUGAUGCUUAGGACAUCCACAAUGUACUACAGAAGUGGUCUAUAGGGAAUAAACUAUUUUAUUCAGCCACUUAGUAACAUUAUGCAACUAGUCCAUAUAAAGAAAAUAGCAAAAGGUAUCCAUAUGCAUAUGGACUACCCAUAUGACAUAAAUAAUAUUAUCUAUCUCUACUUCUCUCUCUUCUCCUAAUAUUACAUUGUAUCCAUAUACAUUGUGAGGAUUGCUAUAGUUAAAGUUUAUUUAUAUGGGUCCCAUCUAUAUAGACCACUUUUGCCAUAUACAUUGGUGAUGUCCUUAAUGAUGAGCCAUUUGGCCGGAUUUUAUAAUUAAGUAUAUGUCGUAUAUAGGGGUGGAUUUGCAAAUAUACCGAUAAGAACUAGUACUCCCUCCGUCACGUUAAUGUGCAGCCAUAAUUUUUCGUGCACAGUUUCGACCGCCUGUCUUAUUUAAAUUUUUUUUAAAAAAAUUUAAAACUUAAGUCACGUAUAAAAUACUAUUCAUAUUUUAUCAUCUCAUAACAACAAAAAUGCUAAGUUUAUUUUUUUUUAAAUAAGAUAGACGAUCAAAGUUGGGCAUAGAAAUUUAUGGUUGCACUUAAAAUGGGACGGAGGGGGUAUACCGUAACAGUUGGUAGCGGAAGACUUUUGAUUUGCAAACAUGCAGAGAAAACAUAUGAUUCGGGUGCCUUGUCACUUGAAAUCCUAUGGAUAUAAAAAUACAUGAAAAUAAUAGGAUCUAGAUGGAGCGAGGGAAUAUAUAUGAAUAUAAGAAAAAAAGAGAUUACAUAAAGGAUUUUCCCUCUAAAAGAUUGUAUUGAUUUAUGAAACCUAAGAAUUUUCAAAUAAAUUUGAGAGAGACAUUCCUUUGUUCAAAGGACCAUAAAAAAGUUCUUCGAAUCCAAUCACAAAAUUACUUUGUUUCAAAUGAGCCUAAGGGUACACUAUCAGUAGAUUACAAUCUUAGCAAAUAAAAUUUACUAUAGGACACCUACACUUUGUGAUCUUCACUUAUGAUAUCGUAAGAACGUGACACUAUUAUUGGAAAAAACAAAUCUAAUAAUUAGUUACGAGACAACGAAGCCAUUAUUUUUAUUAUAUCUAGUGUGAAUUUCACACUGUGAAAGGAGCGGCACAUUGUUACUAAAUUAGAAUCUACCCCUCCAUUUCACAUUGGAAGUCAUUUUAGUUUUUUUCAUAAGUUAUAAAUUUCUAACUUCGAUCGAGUUUAAUGAAGAAUUUUUUUAUUAAACACACCUUACAAAUUUCUAACUUGAUAGUGUAUUUAUUUGUUAUUGUAGAUGUCACUGUAUUUUUUCUCUAAACUCAGUCGUAGCUAAAGAAGUUUAAGUUAUGACAACUAGAAUGAUUUGCAGCAUGCAUGGAGUGGAACGAAGGGAGUAUGGAUUAUCAUGGGUACAAUUCCAAGCAUAUUUUUAAAGAAAAACCAUCUUUAUCAGUAUUUCGGGCAUGUACUUUUUUUAAACAAAUUUCACGAACGCCUAAAGCUUCCAUGUUAAUACCAUUUAGGCUUUAGGCUGUGUUCGCUAUUCCCGGUUGGGAACUUGGAACAGUCUGCACAGAAAACGGAGCGGUCCAUUAACACGUGCUUAAUUAAGUAUUAGCUAUUUUUUUUAAAAAGGAUUAGUUUGAUUGUUUUAAGCAACUUUCAUAUAGAAUUUUUUUUGCAAAAAAAACUUACUCCCUCCAUCCCUUAAUAUAAGGGACAUUUUGCUUGCACUGUUUAACCAUUCGUCUUAUUCGAAAAAUUUUAGAAUUAUUAUUUAUUUUUUUGACUUAUUUUAUUGUCUAAAGUACUUUAAGCACAACUUUUUAUUUUUUAUAUUUGCACAAUUUUUUUGAAUAAGACGAGUGAUCAAACAGUGCAAACAAAAUGUCAAAAUCUCUUAUAUUAGGGGGUCGGAGAGAGUACCGUUUAACAAUUAAAAAAGCGUGUACGCGGAAAACGGGAGAGAGGGGUUGGGAGGGGAUUAGUAUACUUGGACUGAAAUGCCAAUCAGCCUAGGCGGGGUGUAAAUGGGCCGGACCAUGAAUCUGUAUCCCGUCGCUUACAUGGCCCACAUAACAUGCAUGCCUUCUUCAUAGGCCUGGUGUGCUAUGACGGCCUUAAGUUGUUCCCUUUUUCGUUUGGAAUAUAAGUUCACUUUAGAUCUCUCAAUUUAUCGCCGAAUCUGAAAUCAGUCCCUGCAUCGCAAUACCAGAUAUAAUGUGUUUCUUAACUCUUAAAACCAAUGUGCAAACAAGAUCUUAAGGCCAUUUGGACGGUGGUUUCAGCUGAUGUGACACUUAAAGUAAGAAAAAUAUCGUGGGACCACAUCUAACUACUAGGGCUGUUAAAAAAAGCUCGAGGCUCGCGAGCUGCUCGAGCUCGACUCGUCCUAUGCUCGAUUUGAGCUCGGCUCGAGCUCCAAACGAGCCGAGCCUGAGCCUGUCCCAAAGCUCGCGAGCUUUGUCGAGCCGAGCUCGAGCUUCUAAUAAGCCUAGUAAUAUAUGAUUUUUUAUUGCUAUUUAAUAAAUUGGUAGAUGAAAUAUGUUAUUUGUAUGCCUUGUAUUGGCAUCAUAUAUUUAUUUUAUUCCUUUUCCUCUUCUACUAAUAUGAUAAACCAUAAAUUAAUUAUUUUUAAAAGAAUAUUCUUUAAAAUAUACAUUGUUCUAAUUAAAAAUCAAGCUCGGUAGUCGAGCUCGAGCUUGAUCUAGCUCGAACCGAGCCUGUUUAAAAGCUCGAACAUUUUAUAGGCUCGGCUCUAGCUUGUAUUGAGCUCGAGCCUAGGCAAGCGAGCUCGCUCAAGCUCGGCUCGUUGACAGCCCUACUAACCACCCCUUCUCUUUCCCUUUCUUCUCCCUCCUGGUUUUACCUUUCUUCUCACCGCACGAACGACGGAUAGGGUCCAAGUGGGCGUUCGUGCGAUGAGAAGAAAGGGAAGACCAGAAGAGAGAAGAAAGGGGAAAGAGAAGGGGUGCUUACAUGUUGCCUCACGGAUUUUUUUUCUGACUUUAAGUGCCACGUCAACACCACGUAGUUGUCACGUCAGCUGAAACCAUCAUCAAAACCAUCUUCGGAUCGUAUUUGCACUGGUUUUAGAAGUUGAGGGACACAUUCUAUUUGGUAUUGCGUUGCAGGGAUGAAUUGCAAACUCGACGGCAAAUGAGGGAUGUACAGUAAACUUGUUCAUUUCCAUUUUUGGCCUUCACCCGGUUGAGUGGAUAUGGGCCUUGGCUCGUUUUUCUUUUUGUCUUUUUGAGAGUGAUGCAGUAAGCUCACAGUUCACUUGACCGUCAGUAGCCAGGAUAUGGAUAUGGAGGCUACAUCGGAGAUUUGCCUUAAUCAACAUCAUUUUUUUUCUUUCCUUUUAGCGCAAAUACAAGUUUUCCUCUUUUUUCCCCCUCCUACUAUAUUAGAUCAAGCGACACGUUCACAUCUGCAGUUGGAAUCAGUGAACAGUUGAAUUCAACGUUCACAAUGAUUUGCACCUGACCAUGCUCUUUUUUUCUUGGAAAAGAAAGUAUAACUUUAACUAAGAGUGUGUUUAGUUCACGCUAAAAUUGAAAUUUUGGUUGAAAUUGGAACGAUGUGACAGAAAAGUUAAAAGUUUGUGUGUGUAGAAAAGUUUUGAUGUGAUAGAAAAGUUGGAAGUUUGAAAAAAAAAUUUAGAACUAAACUCGGCCUAACUAAAAAUAUUGUGGAUUAAAAUUUGGAGUGUAGUUAUGCACUUAUCACCAAUACACCAAUGGUGAAACCGUGCUCAUAUAAAAUAAUAAUAAUAUAUUUCAGUCUAAAAUAUAAUUAUUUUUAGCCAUAUAUCUGGGCAAACACUUAUCUACUUCGUCCCAAAAUACACUCCUCUAGUUUAGGAGAGACAAACACUUAUCUACUCACUCCCUGCACUUCCUUUAGGAUGAAUGGAGUAGUGUCUCAGGAGUGCUAGGGACAUUUCGAGUGCACUUACUUUAGGAUGAAUGGAGUAGUGCUAGGGACAUUUCCGAGAGUACCAUGAGCUGAGCUGUGCAGCUAAUGUGACAGAUGCAACCCGUUUUGUAAUCAGCCGUGAACAAGACAGUAGGACUCUACAAACAGCCAAAGAUUCACACCAACAUUGAACAGAAUAAACAAAAGAACAUUGAGAUAGUUCUUCCCUAACUUACAGUGCUUAGAUGAACAACCAAGCUACACUGUCCGGAGCUUGUACUACUAAAGUAAAAUCUUCCCUCUGCCUCAUCGACACACAAGGCCAGGGUAAAUAAAAACUACUAUAACUCUAUCAGACAAAGCAAGGUAAACCGAUCCUCCUUUCUGCUCCUAAAAUGGCAUUAGUAAGAUUGGAGGAUCAUAUGACACUGGUGCUAAACUCUAGUAAAUCUGAACAACUUAUCAAACAAGCAUAAGGUAUGGUCCUUAAUUAUCUCCUUUAGCUUCAUCUUGAGUGAGCGAGCGAUCAGAGCCCCUUGUAGCCCAGCUUCCUCUAUAUACAAUUAAAAUUCUUUUGUCUGGUUAGCGACGCCGCGGUAAUAAUCUGGAGCCGUUCAUGCAUCAAGGAGCUGAUCCAUCAGCAGCCAUGUCCUCCACUGGGAGGUUGAGGUCAGGCAGCACGAAGCCGUUUUGAGAUUCCUGCUUGGCUGCGGGCUCAUCAGGCUGCGGCCUUGCUUGCUGCCCCUCGGAUUUCGUUCCGUUUCGUUUGCUUGAUUUCUCUAACCUUGUCUGCAAAAUAGAGGAAAAGAUUGUUAUUAUACAUUUCAGAAAAAAAAGGUUUUAUGAAACAUAAUUUCAGAUGACUGCAGAAGGCAAAUCUCUUAUGAAUCCAUGAGCCCAACAGAGUAGACUUGGAAAGGAAAUUUGGGUUGUAGUCACAAUCUACCUAGCGUAGUUCUUAUAUUUUGGUAAAAGAGACAUCUCUGUGGAGGUGAAAUGGGAGGCAUAAGAGAAAAUGGACAAUGAACAACCACCAUGAGUCCAUGACCAAGCAUAAACAACCUGAAACAGGACUAAGAAGAUCCAAAAUGUUGGCCAUUACCAUGGCUGGACCUAGCUAGAUGUGCUUUAUGCCAGAGGAGACGAAAGACACACGGGAGAGAGAGAAAACAUGCAUGGACCACUCAGCCACCACGAGGCUCUAGAGAUGACACUGCACAACAACGGUGCAGUACAGGUUAACCGGACCAAAUGAAAUGGGGAGAGCUUUGCCCAACCAUUCUGGCUGGUUAGUACACUGUCUGUAUUUUUAAUGUGAUUGUGGAGCACAGAACCAGUGCAGUGGCAGUGUGGCACGCAAGAACUAAGGGCAUUAAAGAAGGCCACGGGAUUACCAUGUCCAGGAUCCGGGUUGGUGUGCAUAGAUUAAGGUCAUGGCCUGGCAACAUGGCGUUCUUUAUUGGGGGAAAGAUUCCAGACAUGUACGGCUGGUUGAAAACGAAGCAUGCAUGAACAGUCAGUAGAACACCUUGUAACUGCAUCAAUUGCGCAGACAAAGUGCAGUAGCUGAACUGCAUCUAUCACCAACUCUACCUUGCCAAAUGCCAAAGGGUUUUUUUGGGGGACGUCACUUUCCUAGCCCUUCCAAACGUGCAAGCAGCUUGAUGGGUGAAGAGGUGGUUGAGAACUUGAGAUUAUUGAGAUGGAUAAACAGGAUAAGAAUUCGAGCUCCUCCCACUUGCUUGCACUUCAUCCCGAAUGCGAAAGUCAAGAAGGCAAUCAACUAAAAUCCUCACUGACACUCCUAUACCUUUACCGUAAAAUUGACAGCUCGGCUACCACCUCACAGUGGCAAACUAUUGUUAUAAGUUACUAACUAUAUAUAGUACACGAACUUGUCACUAACCAUGACUCUUGAGAUGCAGUACUAGUAGAAGGUACAAACAAUAUUGUAUUAGUAGAAGCUAACCGGAGCUUCCAUACAUCGAGAUAGGAGGAGCUAAGCAGCGCAUGUGUUGAGACAGCUCCAGAAGCAAGCAGCGGCCACAUGCAGGCUCCACCCAGCCUAACUGACAAAGAGCUUCCUAUAAGACUAGAAAAAUCCAACUUACCCUAAAUUAACACGACAGACGCUGAGACGCAUGGCCAAGUCCGGACGAUCCACGGUUCAGUUUCAGAUAAGAUAACGAACGUCUAUCGCCACCUCCAGGUCCCAUACCGUGUGACCAUUUGGCUAAGGUGUCACUCUCCUCAGAAUGACACCCUUUCACAACACGACACGCGUCCUGCGGACUAACAAUAGCCCUAGUAUUUACUUCUCUCGCCCCAAAAUAAAAAAAUCUAGUCUGAUCUGUCCAGUAUAGGAUGUGUCAUUUAUAUCCCGUACUAUAUUUCUUUCACUGGUCCUUGGCUACUUGCCACUACCGUGGUACUACCACUAUCUUCUAAGCAGCUCAAGAGAAGAGAGAUACUGCAAGUGUGCCAGUGAUCCUGUCCGGCACUCCGGCCACACAUGCAGUGACACCGCACCUUUCACCGCGCAAAACAAAUACGUGCUCAUGCGGCAAAGCUAACCCCGGGCAGUUCGUGUAUGGUCAAAAAAAGAAAGCAUGGAAAUCGACAUCUAAACCUGCGAAAGGCUUAUCAUCAGCACCGGUUGUCAUCCGUUUUCAAAGGACAAACGGUGGUUGAGAGGGAUGUGGAGUGAAGAUCGCCACCAAACCAAACCAAGCCACACACAUAGCACUCUUCUCCUAGGAAGCCAGGAAGAGCCUAGGACGACGAAGUAAAGCACACACCAAGGAAGAGAGAGAAAAUAUCGAAGGACAGCAUGCAUUCACAAUGCCAGGGGACCACUAGUUCUCCAUUGGGAGGCUCAGGGGAACUCUACUUUUAGCAAGUUGGAAAGUUCUAUCACUUAUGCUUUAAGCUAUACCAACUGAUCAAACAUGCAGAAUUUUUAUUUGGGUUUUAUGAUGAUUGCGCACUCAGCGCCCCAACCUGGAAGCGAUUGCACGCCACAUGUGCACAAAAGAGAAAGAGGAGAAGAUUUGGUUAGAUAGCAGCAUAUGCCACUGACCUCUAGCUUGCAGUUUUCCUUGGACAACGCCGUGCAAGCUCUCUGCAACGCCACCAUCUCCUGUUUUCGGACGAGAAUAUAAACAAGAAACGGAUAAGAAUUCGAGCUAAAUUAACAGCAUAAUCCAAGUGAGAAGUGAAAAUCACGUAAAGGGGAAAGAAGAACUAAUCAACCUCGCGAAGGCCAUCGUUCUCCACCGUCAGCGACCGCACCAGCUGCUGAAUCUCCGGCAGCCUCUGCACACCAUACCGACAAGAAAACCAAGUUUAGGCCAAAUCAAGCCGUAAUAAAAGCCAAGAAACAAACGCGAUCCUUCUUUUUCUACUACUGCCAUCAAAAUUCGAUCUCGUUUCGUCACAGGACCAUCUGGUGAUGAUGAGCGUGGAUCUUUUCGGGCAGGCAGCCUUUGUCCUUAGGAUACCACUUUUGCCUCCCUCACCACGCUCUCUUUCCGGUGGCAGUGGCCGCACCAGCUGCCGCUUUAUUCUAGACUGGGUGACCGACUCCGCAACUAGAAAACAUUUUUUUAAAAAGAAAAACUCCGGCCAUUUGAACAGCCUACCAUCUCCUGCACGCGACUGGCUGAGUCACUGACUCUACUGCUCUGAGACUACUGUGUAGGCCAAAGACUUUCUUUUGCCGGACCUGUGCCGGACCUGUGCAAUCGCGCAAAUGAUGGGGGUGUACUGCUAGUAGUAAGCUGUAACUUGGGAGUACUCGUAGUAACUUCAUUCAUCAAAGCCCAGACCCAAAGCUGCUGCUCUAUCUAUCUACCGUGCUUUUACUGCAGAAAAAUGCAAAGGUGAAACAAAACAAAACCUGACUGCUUUCUUGUACCACUCGUCACUAAACAAAAUGCGCUUUUCCUGUGCUAAGUGCCGGGUCAUAUGUGUGACACUGAGUGAGUGACUGCAGUAGCUUACCAUCUUCUUCCGUGGUCGCUGUCCGGCGGGCCGGGGAGGCGGGGUCGGUAGGAUCAGCUGGCGCCGUCCGGCAGGGCCCACCUGUAAGCGAGAGAAGAGCACGCACGCCAUUAGUUAUACAGUUAUACUACUACUACUAGCACUCAUCAUCACACACCCAGCGAAUACUGUACUGGAAGUAGCUAGUAACGCGCUGCUGGUAGGAUCAAACAACACAACACGGGCCACUAGAGCCAACCAACUACAGUCCAACCAACGCUGCUGCUGCUGCUGCAUUAAGGAGGCGACCGUAGAAAAAGAAAGCAACAGGCAACGCAUGUUCCACCCAAAAGAAUAUUGUUUUCCAGGUGGUAGGAAGGGAAUUAGAUGAGAGAGUCUAGCUUAGCUUAAGCUUGGCUCUAAUGGGGGAAAACAUCACCUAACUAACUCCUACCAAGAUCCCACAAAACUGCCCCUCAUUGUUGCCCUACCCGCAUGAAGCACAUUUCGACAUGAUAGGAGAGAUCAACAACACGCACGCACAAACAAACAAACUGCUCAUCUUGCCAUCUUAUCCACGAUUAAUUAACCAACGGUGCGUGUGCUCCUAAUUUCUGCACCUAUUGUCCAGUAAUGGAAGCAUGGGCUCUCACCUCACCUGUACAUGACGAUGACAGGUGGGCCCCGCACGAGGUUCCUUCCCUCGCAGGGAAAAAGAAUAAAGAAAUAAGCCCAUAUGAAAUUCAGUUUACUCACUUAAAAUUGAGUAUCCGUUUGCCUCCUUUUCCCGCUAGGAUCGGAAAUCCCACCACAGUGUGAGGUGGGGCCCAUCCCACCAGGACACGUCCGCGAGCAAAGAGAGAGAAAAGAACCUGAAACGCCACGCGCCCACGUGGCGCCAGCCAAGUGGCCACGACGUGUUUCGCAUUCGCAUUCGCACACCCACGCAUGCAUGCGUGUCCCGCGCCGCGCCCACACGGCGCGCGCGAGGCGGCCAAUGGGCAGCCGCCACGUGGCGGCGCCACCCCACCCCUCUCUCUUUCUCUUCCAACGGAGAGCGCCGCGUCGGUUUGACUCCUCACUUCCCACGGCAACGAACGCGAUAGAGGAGGUCAGGUCCAGGAUAAGGGCGGGCGAAAUGACCGGAUUGCCCCCGGAAGUUAGGCUCGAGGCGAAUGGGCAGAUUGGGCAAAAGCGGUAAGCCGCGGCUCGUGGUUGGAGACUUGGGAGUGGGAGCCGAACCGGAACCCACCUACCCUUGUGAAUUGCCGCGGCUGCCCCCCUCCGCAAGGUAGGAGUCAACCGCACCAAACAGACACGCUAUGACAUGGUAGUACAAAUCCACCCCAAAAGAAAAAAAAUUCCCCGAAUUCAAAGUGUGAACUGUACAAGCACCCGUAGAGUCAUAGUGCUACUGGUACAACGCAGAGCUCGAGAGUAGCAGUAGUAGCACGGAGGUGGAGAUCCCGAAAUUGUUCGGAGAAGAAGAGGACGAGGAGAUCUGCGAGGUGGGUGAAGUACUAAUAGCCAUGGAGUUUUUACCGAAAUGACCUGGGUGAAAAGGUUGGAGGUGAAAGAAUGGGUAGGCAGCGAAGCUGCGAAGGUGGGAUUAAGAAAAAAGGUCACGCGAACGAAAAGCCGGUGGGACUAGUGGGAGAGAGAGGAAAAGCGAUGUUUCAUCGAGAAGUCAUCCAUCCAUCAUCCUCCUCUCGUUGCUGACACGGAGGGGUAGUUUCGUCAAAAAAAACCCAGACGAGGAACGGAAAGCGAAGCAGCCCAACCGCGAGCGCGAGCUGUGCGGGGGAAGGAACAAACAGGAGAGAGAGAUAGGGAUGCACGCGCGCGCGGCUGGGAGUACGUACCUUGGCCGGAGAAGGGGUGGGCGCGGCCGUGGGCGUAGUCGCCGCCGCCGCCGUCACCACCGGCGGCGGUGGUGGCGGUGGAGAGCAGAAGGCCCCGUCCUCGCCGCCGCUCGUCGACGCGGCGGAGCCGGAGCCGGAGCCGGAGCCGCCGCUGUAGUCGAGGGGAGACGCCGGGCUACCCCUGGCCCACCUCCCCUUGGUCGCCGCCGACCCCGACCCCGACGGCGAGCGGCGCCGCGACGACCGCGACCGCUUCCCCCGUGCCACCGUCGGCCACGCCAGCUCCUCCUCCUCCUCCUCCACCACCACCUCCUUCCCCUUCGCGGCAGCCGUCCCCCACGGCGGCGUCCACCCGGCGAGGUCGGCCCCGCGGAGCGAGCAGAUGAUGUCCGCCGCCGCGGCCACCGCGCACGCCUCAGCGUCGGCCGCGGUCAUGGGAGCAGCUUCCCUUCGACGAGUCGAGUCGAGACGAACCCUAGAGAAGAAGCCGCCAAAGCGGAGGAGGCGUGGAAGCGAGAGGGAGAUGUGGAGAGAGAGAGAGGAGGAAGGCGAGGGAGAGAUGUGGGAAUGGUGGGGGAGGAGCGAGGAGGAAAUGAGGGGGGCGUGGAGGCGAACCGAGCCCACGGCGUGGCGUCCGGGUUUUUAAACGCGCGGAAUAAAAGCCCACAUAUGGCCAAUAAAAUAAUCCAUUCCCACCACUAGUACUACUCACCACCACCUGUACAUGGCACACGACGCGCCGCGAGACCCUUCCUUCCUCUCCCAUCCCACCCCCACUUACACGUGGGGCCCACCAGCCGGGCCCCAUACGUCAGUGACCGGGUACCCCGCGUGCGUGGGUGGUGGCGGGACGCCAAACCUUGGACGCAGUGGGGCCCAGUGAACCCUUUCCGCCCUUUCGCGCACUGUGCCGGAUAGGAAAGGACGUUUCUAUCCUUUAGUGGGUCCCAUCUGUCGGUGAGUGGAGGUGCAGGGGUCAGUUUGGUAAAAGUGAGGCGUAGUACGCAAGGUAAGGUGGCAGUAGCCUUGGCUGGGGUUUCCGUGUGGUGACGGGUGUGUGCUAUAAAAGCGGCUGCCGGUGGCGGCGAAAAAAAAAAAAGAAAAAUGCCACUGGAUUUGUUUCCCCAUUUUUUCUUUGUUUCGAAAAAAAAAUCGUUUUCCGGAGACGUGCGGCGAGUCGGGUUUUUGUUCGUGUCAAGAUUUUAUUUUUCUCUUUCUCUUGGAUAUAAUAACUGCUUCUGUUCCUGUCGACUUCGGUACGGUAGAGACCAACCAGUGACCGGUUGCUUGUGCAUCCAUCUCGCUGGUUUUGGGACUGGAACGAAUACAACGAAAAUCAUGAGGUGAGUGGUGUUGUGGAUCAUGCUGGAGUACAGUUGGAUGCAGAUAAGAUAAGACGCUCUGUUUUCAUGUGGGAUUUCGGCUGAUUAAACGUGUGUGUUUGUUGCUACUCCUAUGUAUUUUUUGUGGAGUUUAUAGCUAUAAACCAUUCCGCCCAUCCUAAAAUAUAACUAUAUAAGCACUUCAAAAAAUUUACAUACUUUUUUACAUUAGUUAAAAGGAGAGGUGAAAUUAAAUGAUGUAUGGUUGUGAUUGGUUUUAAUGAAUAAGUAGGUAAAGAAAUUAAAUAAGAUAUAGUUGCGAAUGUCAACGAGUAGAUGGGGAAGUUGUCAUAUUUUGAAACAAAAUUUGAAUGAUAAUAUGUUGAGACAAAGAUAGUAACACAAUACUGUUAGACAAACUAGCAAUUAUUAACUUCGUUAUGAAAUAUAAGGUAUUUUGGCUAUCUAUUUGUAUUGCCAAAAUCCUUUAUGCCGUGGGACAGAUAGAUGUGAUAUAGGAUUCAUGACUAUGAGAAACGCCCAGGGGUCUUCCGUCUAGCUCCAAAAGGUGGUGGGCUAGACGACCUGGAUUCGAAGCCUCACUCCUUCUAAUUAUUUGAUAUUAGAUAUUUUCCUAAUAUUCGCGUUUUUUUUGAUUCAUGAAUAUAAUUCACCAAAGUUUCAUGCUUACAAUACUAUUUGAUGCAGUAAUUUGUCAUCUUUUAAGCAUAUAUAUAUUUUUAAAAAAGACGAGUAGUCAAUGUUUGAAAAUAAAAGGCUUCCCUGACAAUUACUCCCACUAUUCCCAAAUACAUGUCACGGUUGGGCACCACGAUUUUAAGCUUAACCACCAAUGUUUUAAACUAAUUAAACUACGAUUAAGGAAAGCUUAAAACUCAUGUUUAGAAUGCAACACUUCGAUGAUACCAUGUCUUUCAAGUAUUUAUAAUUUCUUGAACAAAAUGGCAAGUGAUAAAAUCUAAAUACGAACAAUGAUAAAUACUUGAAAACGGACCGAAUAUUUAAAAACGGGUGGCCUAUCAUACAGUACGUGUGGUACAUACGAUUUGAGCGGCUUCUUCUCCAGUUCUCGAUUUUUAGCUUUUUGAUACUUUCUACUACUAGUAGUACUAAGUACUAUAGCUUGGUGAUGUACCCCACUGUGCAUGCCGUGUUGUCGUGACAGUGCUAGUGUGUGGUGUCCAGCACUGCAGAGCGGUCUCGACGCGACUCUCGCGUAUGUACGUGGAGGGUAUUCUCCCCGCACAGCUAACUCCGGAUAGUUGCCGGUCGAAGCGACUGUUAUUAUGGUUCAGGACUUGCCGUUUGCCCUGAAAUUAGGCGUGUGGAGCUGUAUUUUUUUUAAAAAAAAAUUGAUCAUGUUUGUACAGUAUUAGAGUAUCUUCAGCGAUAAUUUCUAUUUUAAAACUCCUAUAAUUUAAAUAGGGCUGCUCUCAUUUCUUCGGUCCAAACAAUGUCCUCAACUUGUGCACACUACUGGCUGCAGGCGGCGGCGGCCGUGGACUCGUUUGAGAUGUAUAAUUUCUUUUUUUGAGAAUUUAUGAUUCAGUGUAUGGAUUCAAUCUGAGAUAUAUUUGAUUUGUGCUAUAUUUUUAGGAUUUAUGAUGUGAAUAUAUGAUUUGAGAUGUUAUGCUUUGAUUUGAGGAUUUGGGGUUUGAUUGGGAUAUGCAUCCCAUCCGAUUUGGGAGAAAAUUGAAGGAAAAAUCAUCUAGCAAAAAACAAUGAAAAAAGAAAAGAAAAGGUGGCAACCGAGAUUGCCGUUGUUUUCCUCUUUAGUCCCGGUUGGAGUUACCAACCGGAUCUUUAGUCCCGGUUAUUUCACCCGGGACUAAAGAUACCAACCGGGACAACAGUAGGUUCCCAACCGGUGACAAAGAUGGGUUCCCAACAGUGGCAGUAGUCUCCAUUUAUUAGCCCCUAUUUAUUUUCUCAUUUAUUUCAAUAUACACUCUAUAUUUAUGAUUAGUUUAGCCCACAACAAUUCAAAAAUAAAUAUUUCUAAUUCAUAUAAUUCAACAGUAUUUAAAUUCACAAUUUAAAUUCAAAUUCAAAAUUUAAUGUUUAAUGUAGUGCAUAAUCAAGAUUAUACUAUUUAACAGAUCAAAGCAUUCACCAAGAUUCUGGACUAAACAUGAAGUCCGAUCGAAAACUAAACAAAAAGAAUACAACCGUAUCACUGAACCGCGGUGAACUGCUUAUACCGAGAGCCUGUUCAGCAUAGCUCCAGCUCUAGCUCCACCUAAAAUAGGAGCGGAGCUAGGUGUAGCUCUCACAAAAUAAACUAAAGAAAUGGAAUUGGGUUUAGAUAGCUCCACAACUCCACUUCAGAUAAAAUUUAGGAGUUGGAGCUCUAUCGAACAUGCCCUAAAACACCACAACUAAAAUUAAACCGUAGUGAUCCUACUGUCCUACACUCCUACUGGUAGAAGACACAUUAAACAGCAGAGUGAGAAUUACUAACACAUAGAGGCUCCAAAUGCCAAAUUUUUUAACCGUGGAAAUGGCAUAUCCUAAAUAACAAAUAACUUAUAGAAUCCAACGUAUUCCAUCAAAAUAAAAAAAAAGCAUCCGAGAGCUCAAACUUCACCAUUACUAUCAUCACCACCAUCAAACUCUCGCUUGGUGGGAUAUUACACCGUUCCUUCCAAUUGUGGAUGGGGCCGGGGCUGGAGUUGGCCCCUAAGACUUAUUAGGGAUUUUGGGUGAGUGAUUUGGGUGCCUCCCUUAUGUCUAAUAGGGAUCUUGUUGGAUUUGAAGUUUUAACCUCUACCCUAAAAGAAUUGUUUGGGGCCGUGUUUAGGGUCUCUACCAUUAAAAAGAAUAAAAACAAUGCAACUAAAAGUAUUCCUAGCAUAUAUAUCUCUUUGUCCUAUAUCUCUAACUACGAACUUAGACAAGUAUAUCUAGGUUCAUAGUUAGGAUUUGUCUUUUUAGGACAAAAUAGUACUCCCUCCGUCCUAAAUAUAACAAUUUUUAGCCCUCAGGAUUUAUCCCAAAAUAUAACUUCUUCACCAACAUUCUCUUCACAACCAAUCAUAACCCUCCACCAUUCACUUUUCUCACAUAUCUCCAGUAUCACAACCCUCCACCACUUACUUCUACCUACUUUAUUAGUAACCGUGUUCAAUCUUAAAACUUCUUAUAUUAUGUGAAGGAUGGAGUAACUUUUAUACUGAGUGGUUUAAAAGCUAAGAUUGAAUAUAGAAAGCAAUAAUAAAAACAUCUGGAUUAAUUUAAAAUUUUUAUGGCCACCGAGAGAUCGUCGUGUACACAAUCAACGACCACUUCACAAUCUCGGAAUAUUAUUGUACAAGACAAUGUUUGAAAAUUGUGGGAGCCAUGCAUCAUGACCACGCAUGUGCUUUUGUGUACGUACGUGCAUACUCUAAAGAACAGUGAUCGGCAAAUCUAUGGCCAUUUCUAAUCAAAGAUACUAUAAAUAGUUUCCAUAAAUUUCAUAUCAUCAAAAAAAAAACUAGUAUUAGACAAUUCUCUUCCAAUACAAACACCAUUAUUUCAUACUUAAAUUUAAUACCACCUAUCUCAGAUGAUGUCUUGGAUGUUGUGUAAAAACCAUGUCUUAUGCAAGACAUGAUUUCAUUCUCUUUCCUCAUUUAUUCACUUGCCACAUUAUUUUUCAUUCUAGGUGGCAGCUAAUGCUAUGGACAUCAUCUUAAUUAUUGGGUUGGAAAUGACAUAAGAUACCGUCAGUUGUAAUUUUUGAAAAAAACUUGGCUGAUUGAUUGGAUGGCCACUAAUAAAUGCACCAGCUUCCCGUACGUGAUAUUUACUCCUGUACAACGGCGAAAGUGAAAAACGAAUGACUAAGGAAAGAAAAAUAUUUACAUGUAUAGGAGGAUUGGUGCAUGCCGGGCAAAUGUCAUUACUGUGACUUUUUUUUUGACACGAUGUCAUUAUGACUUAUUGUGACUGUGAUAGUACUAAUUCCGAACUAUUUCUUUAUCUAAAAAAUAUUGCCACUUGACAAGAUACUACUACCUCUGUCCCAAAAUAAGUGUAGCCAUGGAUAUCCAUGCCCAACAUUUGACCGUCCGUUUUAUUUGAAAAAUUUAUAAAAAAUUUAAAAAUAUUUAGUCACACAUAAAGUAUUAUUCAUGUUUUAUUAUUUAAUAGCAAUAAAAAUACUAAUCAUAAAAAAAUUUCAAACAAGACGAACGGUCAAACGUUAAACGUGAAUAGUGCAAAACUAUACUUAUUUUGGGACGGAGGGAGUAUAUAUAAUCAAGGUAGUUGCAUUUUACGCCAUGUUUUUUUGUUUCCAAGGUUGGCCAAGUUGAAAUUUGAGAUGAGGCAAAAGCCUUCCUGCCAGUCUAAGGCGCUGCUUAAGGGAGUUUAAGAUUUUGAGAAUAUGCUCGUUGGUAGUCAGCUUUUGAGAAUUUGAAGAAGCUGGGUUUUCCAGCUUUUGGAUUCUAGUACAUUUUCUGUAUUAUACAACUACAGAUUCUAAGAAUCUAGGUGACAAUCUAAACUGUUUAGAGAAGCUGGAGAUUAUGUGAGAAGCUGCGGCUGCUAGAAGCUGCUCCAAACAUGCCCUAAAACCGGUGUGUAUGUUGUUGGUCCACUCUAUUGAGAGGGACGUAUGCCCGGACAACAGAAGGGACUGUAUACUUGUUUUGUGGGUAAUCCCAACCAGAAUGGCAUAAGCCUGAUUCUCAGAAAUCAGAACCAACUUCAGAACCUUGGGCCUUCUCCAUUCCAUUUCACACCAACUUACUUAGAGCAUCUCCAACAGUCUCUCUAAAUUGGACUCUCCAAACAUCUAUAUAGCUAGCUCUCCAAUUGAUUUGGCAAGCCAAACUUAUUCCUCACUCCAACAACCUCUCCAUCUACACUCCCCAUUAUGAGCCUAUGACACUGGGACCCGCACGUCAGCCUCUAUUACUCAUGGCUGUGUAGGAGGCGGCAUCCUUGUGCGCCAUUUCGUCGAACAGGUUGCAGGCAGGCCGCGUCGGCAUGCCUGGGCGUGUAUUUGGUAGGCCAAGCGGGCCAGCAGCGGAGGGCGGAGCAGGCGAGCUCGUCGGCGGCGGCGGCGGUGGCUGGGUGGAUGGCGAGAGCGCGGCGGCCCUGGAGGAGGCAGAGCAACGGAGGCACAUAUCAAUCGAUCGGUGGGCGGCCAGGCGGGGGAGGACGCUGACGGGGAGUAGGAGGGCACCGGCGCAGGAAGGGGAGGGGACAGGGGAGCACGCGGUGGAGGUGGAGCGCACGGCGGAGGAGCGUGGCCACCAUGGGUGGGGAGGCGAGGCGAGAGGAGAGGAGAGGGGAGGGGGAUGACGACACGGCGGCCUCGGCAGUGGACGACGACGCGGCGGAGGGGCAGCGCCGGCGGAGGGACGCGACGGAGGGAGCGACGCCGGUUGUGGUUGGGGACGGAGGCCGCGGUGGAUGCGGCAGCGCCGGACUUGGUCAGGGACAGAGGCGGCGACGCCGGUUGUGGCUGGGGACGGAGGCGGCGGCGGACGGCGGUGCCGCAUGUGGCCGGGGACGGAAGCGGUGACGCCGGUUGUGGCUGGGACGGAGGCGGGGGUGGAUGCAGCGGCGCCGGACUUGGUCGGGGACGGAGGCGGCGACGCCGGUUGUGGCUGGGGACGGAGGCGGCAGUGGACGCGGCGGUGCCGGUUGUGGCCGGGGACGGAGGCGGCGGUGCCGGAUGUGGACACGGACGGAGGCGACGGCGGCGGUUGUGGCCGGGGACGGAGGCAGUGGCGAUGGGCUGUGCGGGAGGCGAGAGCGAAGGAAGAGGAGAGCGAGACAUGUGGGAGGGAUAGUGCGUGGGGCCCACAGUUAGCUAGCGGGUGUGGCUGGCCACAUUUGGCCAGUUCCAUAGGAUUUUUAGCCAGCCGGAUGGCUUGGCUAGUCAAUUGGAGAGUCUGUUGGAGAUUUUUUUUUUCUAUCUUAGCUAUAAUUUAGCUUGGAGAGCCAUUUAGCCACUCUGUUGGAGUUGCUCUUAGGCCCCGAUCGAGAGUGAGGGACGGGGAAUAAUCCCUCCGGCAUGGAAAACGGAGCAGGCCAUUAGCACGUGAUUAAUUAAGUAUUAGCUAUUUUUUUCAAAAAAUGGAUCAAUAUGAAUUUUUUAAGCAACUUUUAUUUAUAAAUUUUUUUUAAAAAAACACACCAUUUAACAGCUUGGGAAACGUGCGCGUGAAAAACGAUGUGGCGGGAGAAGUUGCCCACUGGAACUAGCGCACCCUUAUUUCUUAGGCUGUGUUUAGUUCACACUAAAAUUAGAAGUUUAGUUAAAAUUGGAAUGAUGUGAUGAAAAAGUUGAAAGUUUGUGUGUAGGAAAAUUUUGAUGUGAUGAAAAAAUUGGAAGUUUGAAGAAUUGUUUUGGAACUAAACACGGCCUUAGAUUCAAAUGAAAGAACUUGAUUGGUUACAUCUUUCUAGUAGUUUUGUUUUUCAAGUCACUUACUGUUUCCGAGUUAAAACCAACAAAACUUUUCCCUUCAAAUUUUUUACACCGAAUAGUUGAAAAAGUCAUCCAACUUAUGAUCAAUUCGAGAUGCUAAUUCCAAUUUGCACAUAUCCACUAAUAAGUACUACUCCAUCCUCUCCAAAAUAUAGCUAUUUCUAACACUUAAAUUUUAAGUUUGUAGCAAUGAAAUGUUCAAAAUUCCCCCAUUACCACUUUCCUUAAUAUUUGUUAAAAAACUACAAAAGUAUGGCCUGGUUUAAUUCCCAACUUUUUCUUCAAACUUCCAACUUUUUCAUCACAUCAAAACUUUCCUACACACAUAAACUUCUAACUUUUUCAUCACAUCAUUCUAAUUUCAAUCAAACUUUCAAUUUUAGCGUGAACUAAACACACCCUAUAUUUUGGGAUGGAGUAGUAUCUCUUGAGCCACCUCCCUCAGGCUUGACAAUUUGCCAUUGUGAUAUCUUUUGACACAUGAAUACUGGGAAGCAUUUCAAAUCACCCACCGUCAGUAUUUCUUCCUCUUUGACAUGCAGCUCACCAGCCAGAUAGCCCAACAAAGAAAAAAAACCCAAUGAUACGAGAUGGCUUCUCCAAACAACAGUUACUCAAAGGUCAGCAGCUACAUAGGUACAGUAUAUGCUCUAAACUGUAUGCUCCUAAUUGCCUUUAUCCACAUUUGCAUAUAUUGCAGCACACUCCAAAGCAUUGGAUACAGACUGCCAUCACAGUAGCAAGUUUCAUAUAAUUGCUCAUGUGCAUGGUCAAAAAUUUCUUGCCCUUGUGUAUAUAGUGCUCACUGCACAAAUGGUAUAAGGAAAUACUCAGCGUAGAACAACUGCAAGGAAUACAAACAAUGCAAAUGAUUAACAUUACCAAUGUUUAAUUGGUUAACAAAAUUCAUCGUAUAAACUAGAACACUAUCAUUAAUCACCUUCCAAAUGAACAUGUAAAAUGAUGUGAUCCACGCCUUGUUUUCAACGUCACAGUGCUGUGCUCUCUGCCAAAGUGCAAAGGCAAGCAGGCCAUGGCCGAAAACCUGGAUUAUCAAUGCAACAGCAAAAGGACUUCUCAACUUUCAAACUGGGGAAAUUUUUUUUUGAAAUGAACAAUUUUUCUUCUUCUUUUCAGAAGUGAAGAAUUCACUCACGGUGAUAAUCAUUUGACAUAGAUUUGUAGAUGAUGCUCCAGCCAAAAUGGCAGCCCCAUAUGCUGUUAAUAGUAUGUUUAUGCAGAGCCAAUACACCUAAAUCAGAUAAAAAUAGGAUUUUACACCAUUUUUAAAUCUGGAAUGACAUGUAGAACCAUUAUUUUGUUUUCCAGUGGUAGAAUUGGAUAUGUUCUUACUCUUUCUGGACCCAAACGUACGCUCAGGGAUUCGACGCCAAAAUGUCUGUCACCAUCAAUAUCUGGAAUAUCCUGAAAAUUCAGAAAAGGUCCCAGUGAUGAUAUUUGAAGAGAUGGAUGAAAUAAGGCUAUGACUGAAGAAAAGCCAUUGUGAUCUCACGUGAACAUAUAGUCAACAUAAUUGGGCAUUUACCUUGAAUAAAGCUAUAACUGAAGAAAAGCAACACAUGAAUAAUGUUGCGAAAACCACCGACUUUGUUGGUGCCAAGGGCCUCUUCAGAACAUGUUGCUGUUACAAGAAGAAUUCAAUACUAACCAAAGGGAAAUAAGGAAUUUGAACUUGAGAUGUAAACAAUGUUUUGUACUACCUGCAUAUGUGCAAAGAAAGCUAGCUGAACUAAGACAGCUCUUACAAAUAGUAUACAAGAUGCAGCGAGAAACGCGUUCCUUUUCCACCGGAGUAACGGAGCCUGAAAAAAAGAGUAUGAUGGAUUGAAAAUACAAGUAUUUAUAUGUUAGAUGGGAUCAUGGAACACCAUUUGUACUUACAAAGCUCGGUAAAAACUACUUACAUCAACAGAGUAUGCACUUCCAAGAAAGAAACUGAUAAACAAAGCACAUAACAAAGGAGCUGAUUUGGAUCUGAUUCCAAUGGCAAUGCUCUAGCAAAAGGAAACAAAAUGUGAGGAAGGUGUAUUGACAUAAAACCUGUUUUAUUCAAACUAGAAUAAUUGAUUCUUUAUUCCUGGCGUUGAACCUAAUAUACCAUGAUCAAGGACGUGAGUACUAACACUGCUCCAGUUGCCACUGAAAAUUCUCCUGACGCCAACGGAAGGCUGGGCUUAUUGACCUCCAAAAAGAAGUAUGAUUUAAUCACAAUGAUACUACAUAUCACAUGAUAGAAGAAAAUGUUUUCAAACAGCAAGUAAAAAAUCACCUUAUCAAUCUGGAUGUCAUAUAGUUGAUUCAGGCCUACAACAUAGAUAUUCAUACAUAAAGAAGAGGAUAAAGCCUGCACAUAAGGAAAAAUAAAUGGCUGUUGUAUAUCUAUAGACCAUUAAGAAGAUAACUUUAAGCAUCUGUUGAGCACAGGGUUCAUCAGGAAUUUAAUUUAAAACAUCUCUUGAGCACAGCAUUCAUUACAAAAUUUAUGUAUGAUACCUCAAGAAAUCCCCAUAAUGCUUUCAUAGUAAAAUCAUCUAGGCUCCUCAUUGGCAGGAGAGAAACUGAAGUGAUUCCUAUUAUCUGACAAACAAUCCAAGAACAAUAAGCAGUAGCUAGACAACAUGCAUCCGAAACUGCCAUACAAAAUUGAAUGAAACUCACAGUGCCAAAAAUUGUGUGGGGUCGGCAAAACCGAUAAAAAGCUCCCAGUUUCUGGGGAACUUCUUUGCAAAUUUCUUCAAACUCAGUGGCGAUGGAUUCGUGCUGAUCACCAGCAAUGGCAUAGCAUCUCACUUGGAGGACUGGAGAAUGUUGUCUUUUUUGCCUCCUUAUGCUUCUUGUGAGACUGGUAGCAUUUAAAAUUGCACUUAGUUUUACUUGUGAAGUUGUCAUAGUGGGCUAUCGAAAAUAUUAACCCCAGAUUUACGAGAGUGCUUGCCUUUGACACUGGUGUAGAGCAGAAUUUUCCACCGACAAUUUACCUGUAAUGUGUAAUUGAGGACAAGUGUUUAGUACAUUAGUCACUUUGGACAAAAUUAUAUUUUAACAACUUAUGUUUCAUGGGGGAAAGUGCACACUAACAUCUCUAAAUUAUUCAUCCAUUUUAUCAACAAGGUAUUUUAUUUCUCCUAAAAGAAGAGGAAAAAAAAUACAGUUACUGAAAAGGACACAACUAUGAAUUUGUUAAUUAGGAUAAACUUCAUUUCAGAAAUAUGCACCUUCGAAUUCUUCUAAAACUUAGUGGCUGAAAAAUUGAGGACAUAUUAAUCAGUAAUGCCCUAUAUUUGCAAAUUUUGGGACAAUUUGAACCAUGCCACACAAAUUUUACAAAAUUUGUGAUAUGCCACCCUGACCCACAUGUCAUUGACUCAUGUGGGUCUUACAUGUCAUUGAGAUACGGGUGGCAUAUCUCAAAUUUUGCAAAUAUAGGGUGUCAUGGUUCCAACAAACCCAAUAAUUUUAGUGGGGGCUUCGCAGGGGCUCCCAUGGUCCUCACGUAAGUAGUGGAGGCUCGAGACUCUACCGCCUUCAUGCUAGAUCCGCCCUAUACAAUUAAAAGGAUCGCAAGAUCCUGAAACUCUUCCGGAGAACUAGGAACCCAAAUGUACAAUCUUUUUCUUCAUAGUGAAAAACUUGAAUACAUGUUUGAUCCUGCAAUUAUCAUGCGCAUGCAGUUCAAAUGUUUUAAGGUUUUAUGCUUUAUCCCCCAUCUUCUUCUAUUUGUGGUGCAUCUAGGCUAGCUGGAUUUGAUCUACGAACAACCCAACCCGGAUGCCUGGAAUGUUGAUUUUUAUUGAAAAAACAUACUAAAUAUAGAACGAAAACACGAAUCUCUGUAUACCUCCCCAGGACAGUUUCCUCGUUCCAAACCGAGCCCUGAAUUCCGAUCCCCUCUUAUCUGCAGCACCCAAGUUAAAGAAAAUCCUCAAAUCAAACCGAAGUAAUCAAAGAACAAGACUAACAAAAGACAGUAUAAAAGAGUUGUGUGUCAGCUGGCGGCGGCCGGUUACCUUCCUGGACUUGCACGGUGUGCUGAUGCGCCGCCGGCUUGAUAGCCGAGCACGCCGCCGCCGCCGCCGCCGAUGAGGCUUGCAUCGUCUGGGAUCUUGGAAGAAGACAACGGACGGACGGACUAGAUGAGGAAGAACUGAAGAGGAGGAAAACCUAGGAAUUAAGCCGCCGGCCGGCCGGAUCGAGGAUUUAUGCGAGGGAUUAGCUGAUCUAUCGAUCGAUGGAAGGGAGAUGUGUGGAGUGGGGAUCGAUGAGUUGGGGGACGCAAGCUUUUCUGCUGCUGAUUAAUGCACGCAUGCAUGGCGUGCAUGUAACCGAACCAGCUAUGCUAGCCGCACUGCGCAUCAGCCAGCAGUGAUGACGACGCAGGCAGGCAGCUAUCCCACGCCGCCUGCCUGUGCUGCACUACAACUCACGCGUUGGAAACCAGGCCAUGGUCCACGGGAGUUAGCCGGGCAGUCAGCCCAUUGGGCCGCGAAAACGCGCGUCUAAAAAACCGCCGCAAGUUAUUUAGGAAAAACUUUCAAAUCUAACUAUACUACAAUUGUAAUAUAAUUCCACUGUAACUAUAAUAUUAACUUGUAUAUAAGUAUUAAAAUAAUAUACGCAACUUUAUAUCUAACUUAUAUAGAGAUUACAAUGUAGUUACAGUUAUAUUGUAGUUACAAAUUACUCCAUCCGUCCCAUAAAAAACCAACCUAAUACCGGAUGUGACAUAUCCUAGUACUAUGAAUCUGGAUAUAUAUCUGUCCAGAUUCAUCGUACUAAAAUAUGUCACAUCUAGUCCUAGAUUUGUUUUAUGGGACGGAGGGAGUACAAUGUAACUAUAGUGAAUUUACAUUAUAGUUACACUAUAACUAUACUAUAGUUACACUUGAAAGUUUUUUCCUAUAAAACUUGCGACAGUUUUUUUUUUAGCAAUUUUGGUUCUCGUUUGGAAUAAGUUUGCUUGCCAUCCAUCACCUUCACGUCGAGUUUAAACGGCAUCCUUAGACUGCAAUACUAGAAAUCUUCAACCCCAACUUGCAAAACCGGAUUAAUUAAGAUCAUCCGUCAGUAUAGAUGGUUGGUUUCAUUGACAUAACAAGUUGACUCGGUCCACUCAUGCUGACUAGGCGUAUACGUGAAAAAAAAUAAAAGUGAGCCCCCACAUAUAAUCCUCGCUCUCCUCCCAUUUUCUCCCUCCCUCAUCUCCAUUUUCUCUCCAUCUCCCUUUGGUUCUUGGAGCUUGAUGCAUCGAGCACGUUGCUAGAGAGCGGUGAUUGAGAAGUGGGGGCUAACCAGGAGCGGUGAUGAGGAAGCAGCUCAAGGCGAGGAGGUCUAGUGCGGCGAUGGGUCUGCCAUGGUGGUGACAGAGGCCAAACCGAAGUAGAAACAUCCGUAUAGAGCAGGGACUUCCUCAGCUUCCGAAUAGGAGGAGGAGCUCGUCAUCCAGGUUGGCUCUUCCCCUUUCACCUUCAACCUCAUCAGCUCGCCGCCUCCGUCGAGCUGUCGGGUAGGCGAGAAGCGACAAAAAGGAAUCGGGCUGAGCUACCGUUGCUGACUCGAUGUGGAGCGCUUCCUGCCGCAGGAGGCAUGAUAGGAGUUACCUAGCGAGUCGGGCAGCGUGAGUGGCUUGGGGCUGGAACUAGGACAUGGCAACGACACCACCGCUCGAGCUUGAUUUCCAUCGCCACCACCGUGGCAUCCCUUCCUCAACCUAGCGGCUCCUCCUCUCACUCUCGACAUAAUCAGGCAGCGACGGUAAGCCCCACUCCUAGCGGUAGGGAAGAGCCCAUCCCCAGUGUCACAGGACCACGUACAGGAGCACCCGAGGCGGAGUUACCGGGGCAUCGGGUCCUCUCCUCCGUCAUCGCAGACUACCAUUGCCCUCUAUCCUCUUCGACUGCUCACCGCCACCUUCCCAUGGACUGUCGGUGAGCUAGAGCUCGCCGACUCCCUCAUCUCCCUCCUCUUCUCCUUUUGCUGCCAUGGUCCACAAGAGCCCUCUCAUCACCGACCUCCCACCGCCGCGCUGUCUCCCGCGGACGGGCUUGCCAGUCGCUGCCACUCUCUCCUCCAUUGAGCUCCUGGGAAAGAGAGGGGAGAGGUGGAGAGAUGGGGAAGAGAGGGGAUAGUUGAGGAGAGGAGGAGGUCCACUUACAUGUGGACCACAUGUUUUUUAAUUUUCUUUUUGCUGACUAAGAUAUGACGUCAGCCCAAAACCAACCAUCCGUACUGUCAUGGAACUUGGCUUGGCCGGUUUCGUCUGUAUAAGGGGUGAAGAUUUUUGGUAUUACGGUUUAGGGAUGUCAAUUAAACUCCACGAAAACUGAGAGGCGAUAUGUGGACUUGUUUCUUUCUCGUUUUCUCCCGGAAUAAGUUCAUCUGAGGUCCCUUAACUUAUCGACGAAUCCGAUUUUCGUCUUUCAACCAGAAAAUCAGAUAUAAUAGGUCCCUUAAUUAUCAAAACCGGUGCAAUAUAGGUCAUAAGGAGGUUUGGACGGCGGUUUUAGCUGACGUGGUGCCUACGUGGCUAAUUUGACUCGGUCUUCAUCUAACGCGGCAUUGACGUGGCCCUUACGUGGCAAUUUGAUCCGAAAAAAUAGUAAAACCCGUGGGAACCAUAUGUUAGCUUCACAUACACAAUAAUAAAAAAUGGUGGGACCCAUGUGGGCCCUGCAUGUUAUUCUCAAUCCCCUCCUCUUCUUCCUCCUGACCUCCUCUCUCCCCCAUCUCACCUAUCUUCACCUCUCUCCCCUCUCCUCCCUCCUCUCACCGACGGAGAUGCGGACGGCGUGGAGGCGCGACCUCCUCCACUCCCGUCCCCAUGGGCUUACCGCCGACAGCCACCGUGCCUGCUUCCUCUGCCGCUGGUCGCAGGUGCAUCUGAGCAAGAGGAGCCACAUGCGGGACCAGACUGUCAGCGCCAUGGAUGCAGCUACAUGGCUAGGGAAUGGCUCUAAGCUGCUGCCGACGUGCAGCUCAUGGGCGAUACCCUUGCAGUCACGUGGCGCGUGUGUUGGAGGAAGCAACGGAGACGGGGAGGUGGCCGCGUGUCACUGAGGAGGACGGGGGCCCGGCGAAGGCAAGAGCGGCAACCGUUUCUGAGGAAGGCGCGGGGGCAAAAGGCGGUGCUGGAGAACGGCCACCGGAGGUCGAGGCGAGGGGGAAGCGGCGGCGACGGCAGGAACAUCCGGAGGCGGUGGAGGCAGGCGUGGCGGGCGACGAGGAGAGGGGUGGCGGAUGCCUGUAGUAGGCCCAUGGGGGGCGAGAGUGGAGGAGGCUGCGUCUUCAAGCCGUCCGUUUCUCCGCCGGCAAGAGGAGGGAUGAGAGGGGAGAGAGAUGAAGACAUGGGAGAUGGGGAGAGAGGAGGAAGAAGAGGAAGGGAUUGAGACCAGGGGUUUAUGUGGGCCCCACUAUUCUUUUUUAUUAUUGUGUGUGUGAAGCUGACAUGUGGGUUUUAUAGGUUUUUUUUUUCAGAUCAAAUUGCCACGUAAAUACCACGUUAUAUGAAAAACCAGUCAAAUAAACCACGCAAGCUAAAACCAAACCACCGGUUUUGACAAUUAAACGACGCAUUGGUUGACAAGUUAAGAGACACCAGAUGAACUUAUUCCUUUUUCUCCCGUAGCGCGCGCGGCCCACAGCCUACACGGCCCACCUCCCGCGCUACCCCCCAGUGGGCAGUGGCGACGCUAUCCUCUCCAUCCGCUCGCGGCUCGCGCUCGCCCAUCCAAUCCACCGCAAGCCGAAGCGUGAGCAAAGUGCCCUCGAGCCAUGGCCAUGUCCCUCUCCCUCGCGCGCGUCGCGCUCCCGCCUCUGCUGCAGCAGCAGGGGGGCGCCCCCAGGAAGCUCCACCCCGGCGCCCUCGCGUUCCCCGCCAAGUCGUUCUUCGGCGCGCCGCUGGCGGCCGUCGCGGUCUCCCCCGCGUCGGCGGCGGCGGCGUCGCCGCUCCGUCGCAGGCCGUCGUCCGCCUCCGCCGUCGUCGCGGCGGGGAAGGGGUACAAGAUGAAGACCCACAAGGUACGGCGCGGCUUGGUUGGUGCUGUUCUGGUGUGGAUUGCUGCUGCUGGGGCUGAUUGAUUUCUGUGGGAAUUUUUUUUCAGGCGUCGGCGAAGCGGUUCCGGGUGACGGGGAGGGGGAAGAUCGUGCGGCGGCGCGCCGGGAAGCAGCACCUUCUCAGCAAGAAGAACACCAAGCGCAGGAAGAGGCUAUCCAAGAUGGUAUGCUUCUUCUUCUUCUCUUCUCCCCCCACCACCCUGCAAUCCAGAUACAGUGCAGCUCAAAUUCUGGUCUACUAGUUGUCCAGCUUAUCUAGCCAUGGAAUUUGCUGGUGUUCCUAUGCUUAAUUUUGGAUUGGAUUGCAAUGUGAGCUGUGGAAUGCUAAAUUGCUAAGUGAGACUGUGAGAGUGACUGAGUGAGUGUGGUUCAGCUCAUGGUGCUAUGGAAUGCGCCGAAUUUGGGAUGUUCUAUUUGUGAAUUUCGGGGCAAUAUGCAUAGCUGUCUCCUAGUACCUAUGUGGCUGAAUCUGAUUGUGGGUCACAUAUCUGUGCAUUCUAGAUUGUAUGGGAAUCAAAUGAGUGGCAUUUGUAGCUUCUUUCUAAACUUUGAUGUGUUCAGCUCUGCUGUUCGCGAUAACUAAUUAGUAAUUUCACUCAUUUUUUUUCAGAGUUCAUGGUCCACUAUUAGUUCUUACAACAAAAAAUAUUUUUAGAAGCCACUUCUUUAUGUCUAUGUGCUAUUGUGCUAAGUCCUACUUAAUAUUAGCAUAUUUUUAAAUUGCUGAAUAAUAAUAUGCCAUGCUCUUUGAGUAUUUUUUGGGAAGUUAAAAGAUUGUCGAAUGUCUUAUCCAUUUGAUUAUUGGGGAUCUGACAACAUAAUUAACAGCCAUAAACUUUGUUGUAAUAUUAGAAGCUCAGUAGGUUGAGUGUUAUAAUUAGUGUGCACACGCAAAAGUACAUACCAGCAAUUGAUAAUUUAAUUGCUCAUCUAUCCCAAUCUCCCCUUGAUAUCAAUCCAUGAUUGGUAUGUGUCCUUUACAUUUUUCUGUUCUAAUAAUAAUGUGCAAAUGCAUCAUACACAUUUUGCAUUGGAGUGUUUUGUCGAAAUGAAGUCCACUAUUUUUGUACACUUCUUCUGUAACUGAGUCUCCAUAUUAUUUUAUAGAGGUUUGGUCUUUCCCCCCUGAAGUUCAGUCUUCCCAUUUCUUACCUCUCGGAUCCUUAAAGUAAAGCACACCCUACACUAAAUUUGAGAUAGGAAGCUUUCUUGUAGGCCCAACAUCUGUUCUACUUGUAUCACCAAUGUUUGGUAAUUAAGCGGCUGAAAAGAAACAUUAUUACAAUAAGAAAAUAACAAUGAUUUGCUGGGGGUGUAGUCUAUUUUAGUAGCUUCUGAAGUCCUAAAAGUGUCAUCAUAAAUCAAGGACAACUUCACUGGAAGUCUAAAACUUGUCAUUGUCUACCGCCCUCUAAGAGAACAUUGUUAUCUUUCUCGCAGAUCCAAGUUAACAAGAGCGACUACAACAACGUGACGGGCGCACUGCCCUACCUCAAAGUGAACAGGAAUGCAGAAUGAGAUCUCCUAGGUCUUGCAAACAUGCUUCUGUUUCGUUUCAUCAAAUUGUAAUUUUGUGUAUCUUCUUUGUAUUUCUUUUCUGAAUACCAAGGUCCCAAGUCAUACCAAGCAAGCACAAACAAUUAUUCAUGCCAACAUGUUCAAAAAUGAGUUGCACUUGCACGAGCUAGUUAUUUACAAGUCCUUUUUCCCCUUUUGACAAAGAAAAUUCCAACUGAUAAUGAAAGCAACUAUUAAGGAGUAAGAACAUGAGUGGUUGACUAUGCAAGGCGUCUCCCAUUAUACCUGUGACUAAUAGCAUCUGAUUUAAUUUGCAUUAAGUAAUAUGUGCAGGCUUAAGAAGUGAAAAAAGUCGUUUAUUUGAGCUCUUCUGUGUGAAACUGCGAACUCACCUAAAUGGACAUCUAAGCAUUUUUUGGACUAUAAAAUAAACAUCUUUUGCUUAAUUUAGCAAGGAGACCGUUUAUUUAUUGACUCGUUCACACGAUGCCAAAGUGACAUCUAUGUAUUUUUUUUUAAUUUAGCAAGAAGACCGUUUAUUUAUUGGUUUGUUUGGUUGUAUGGCGGCAUGGCGCCACCCAUUGCCCAAAUCUACUGAGUUAGUGUUUGAUUAGUUGUUGCAAUUGUGGCAAUCCAUAUUUUAGUACUCCAUGCGCUCAAAUUCCAUACACACAAUUCCUAGCUAAACAAUGCCACCCCGUUGGCAAUCCACACUGGUGACAAAUUGAGUUAUGACACGGUUAGGUUAUAGUCUAUCAUGUCCUCAAUCUGCAUAUGUGGUAUGCACAUACAUUUUUAUUGACUUCCAUGCAUAUAGCAAUUGAUUAAUAACAUUGAAAUAAGGGAGGAUCAAAAUAGAAUAAGAUUUGUUUAAGUUUAGUUGUUGGUGGACCCCCACCAGGCCACCACAGAGAGGCAACCGUUUGAAGGAAAAGCGAAAAACGAAUUGUGCAUUAACUAAAGUCAUUCCACUUGGAGUUGAUAUUCACUAAAGAAAAGUUCAAAAACAAACAUUGAUAACCUACUGCAACCUAUGGAAAGUCAUUCUACUCGAAUCCAUGAUUCCAAUAGAAAUCUAAAACCACAGUAGCAACGUUUAUUAUACAACAAACUCAUCCCAAAACCAUUAAAUAUCAACCACAUCCUCCUACUUCUAUGGAAAGUAAUGCUGCCCGAAUGAUAGAUUCACUACAAAAUGUGCACAACUGUAAAAAAAUAACACCAGACUAUUGAAAAACAUAUAGAAAAUCAUUCUGCUCAAAUCCUAAGAUUCGCUAGAGAAACCCGAACCACACUAGUGACAUUUAUUAUACAAGAAUGUCAUGGUAGAAAUAAUUAAAUUACAAUAAGAAGUUCCAACUUCUACGGAAAGUAGUUCCUUUGAAUCAAAGAUUCUCAAAAUAGAACAUGCAAAACCAUCAAAUAAUAACUAUAGGCUAUUGAAACUUAUAAAAAGCCACCCCGCUAGAAUCCAAGAUUUGCUAGAGAAACCCAAAACUACACCAACAACUUUUGUUAUAGAGCAAAUUUCACAAAACCUCAUGUUUUGGGGGCAUUAGAAACAAAUACCCUUGGUCUUGUAAUUUGUUUCAACAAGCCCCGAAUUUUGAGGCAACAUGUUUUAAAAGACAUAAGCACAAACAUUGAUUGUCCAUUUGGCUGUAUAAUAAUUGUUUAAAAAAAUAUAUGAGACAUUUUACUAUGUAUACACAUUGGCAUAUUUUUCAACAAUCAUUGGUUGUCGAUAGUAUGAACAUUUGUAUAUAUAAAUGGUAGACAUGGCAUUAUUAGUGUGGAUUAUGUUAUGAUUUUUCAAUCAUAGAGUGCGAGUGAGAAAGGAGAUGAAGCAGAAAGAAUGGACGUGUAUUUAGAGCAUAUUAAUGUGAAUAUAUAUCUAAAUAAUGUAAUGCAUAACAUUGGAAGUGAGUUUUUUUUUAAAACAUAAACCUAGUGUUUCUUGAAACAUCUUGCCCCCAAAACAUGGGGUUCCUUGAAACAAAUAAGAAUAAAUAGGGUUUUGCAUCACGGAUGCCUCAAAACCAGGGAUUUUGUGAACUUACUCGUUAUUUAUAUAGCAAUGCUAAUGUGAAAACCAUUAAAUUAAUAACAUGCUAGUACUUCUAUGUAAAGUAAUUCCACUCAAGUUAGAGAUUCGCUAAAUAGAAUAUGGAAAAUUGUCAAAUUAUAAUAAUAGGAUAAAUGAAAAACUUAUGACAAGUCAUUCUGCUCGAAUCAUGAGAUUUGUAGGAGAAACCCGAAACUACACUAGCAACAUUUGUAAUACAACAAUGUCAUCACAAAACCAUUAAAUUACAACAACAAGAUCCUAUUUCCGCGGAAAGUAAUUCCGUGCAAACCAGAGAUUUGCAAACUAGAACAUGCAAAGCCAUCAAAUAAUGACUAUAGUUAUUGAACCUAGAAAGUCAUUCUACUCGAAUCCCAAGAUCCAUUGAAGAAAUCCAAAAAAUGCACUAACAAAAAAAAUUAUAGAGUAAAUUUCACUAAACCCUAGGUUUUGGGACAUUUUUAGCAUAAUACCCUAGGUUUUGUAAUUUGUUCCAACAAACGCUUGGUUAUGGGGCAUCAUGUUUUUUUUUAAAAAAAAAUCACAGGCACAAACUUAGAUAGUACAUUGGGCUAUAUAAUAAUUGUUAAAAAAACUCGUAUGGUACUUUUUUUUACUAUGUACACACAUUGGCCAUAAUUUUAACAAUAGUUGGUUGUCAAUAGUAUGACCGUUUGUGUAUGUAUAUAAGUGGUUGACAUGGCGUUAUUAAUGGGGAUUAUGUUAUUUGCAUUCAUAUAGUGUGAGUGAGAAAGGAGGCAAAAUAGAUAGAUGGGCAUUGUAUUUAUAGCAUAUUAAUAUGUGAAUACAUGCAUAAAUAAUACCAUGUAUAACUACAAAACACGAGUAUUUUACAUAAAACCGUGGUUUUUUGAAAUAUUUUUACCCCAAAACAUGUGAUUCCUUAAAACAAAUCACAAUAAUGGGGGGGGGGGGGUUUGCAUUACGAAUGCCCUAAAUCUUGGGAUUUUGUGAAAUUUACUCUUUAUAAUAUAUUAUAGAGCAACACCAACAUGAAAACAUUAAAUUACAUUUCAUCAAUAAAUCCACUGUUUUUGUGCACUUUUUCUGUAAAUGAGUGCAAUGGGUGUUUUGUUGAAAUGUAAAUCCACUGUUUUGUGCACUUUUUUAGUAUCCAUUAUACUUUAUAGAGGUUUGGGGUUUCCCCCUUGAGGUUUGCUCUUCCUGAUUCUUACUACAUCUUAUAUACUUAAAUCUUACCUUACACUAAAUUUGAGAUAGGCAGCUUUCUUAUCCUUCCCAACAUUAGUUCUACAUGUAUCACCAUUUUUUUUUCAGAAUUAAGGACCUGAAAAGAAACAUUGUUAUUAUUAUUUUCUUGUAAGAAAAUACCAAUAACUUACUGGUUAUGUAUAGUCCAUUUAAGUACUUUAGUCCUCAAAGUGUCAUACUGUGAAUCAAGGGGUAACUUCAUUGGAAGUCUAAUACAUGUCGUUGUGUGCUUCAAAACACAAUUUACAUGUCCUCUAAGAGAAUGCACAUUGCUAUCUUUAUCGCAGGUCCAAGAUAACCAGAGCGACCACAACAACGUGAUAGGCACACUGCCCUAGCUCAAAGCGAACCAGAAUGCAAAAUAAGAUCUCCUAGGUCUUGCAAACCUGCUUCUGUCUCAUUUCAUCAACUUGUAAUUUUGUGUCUCUUAUUUGUAUUUCUUUAUGAAUAUCAAGGUCCCAAGUUAGAUCAAGUAAGCAUAAACAAUUUUUCAUGCCAACAUGUUCAAAAAUUUUGCACGGUCUAGUUCUUUACAACAUUUUGCAAGUUUUUUUUCCCCUUUUGACAGAGAAAAUUCCUGUUCAUAUUGAAAGCAAUUAGUAUUAAAAAGUACAAACACGGGUGAUUGACCAUGCAAGGCCAGCUGAAAUAAACCACAAAAGGACAAUCCCUAUUAUACCGGUGACUAAAUAACAUUUGAUUUAAUUGCAUUAAAUAAUAUAUGCAAGACUUGAGAAGUAAAAAAACAAGUCAUUUAUUUGAACUCUUCUAUGUGAAACUGUGUGCUCACCAAUUGAAAUCUACGUGCUUUUAUUGGAAUACAAAUAAACAUCUCGUGUUCAGUUUAGCACGAAAAUCGUUUAUUUAUUGACGUAUUCACGGCUUCAUGCCAUGCCACAGUGAUAUCUAUAUUUUUUUUAUAGUAGAAGAAUAUCAUUCUUUGAGGGCUUCUUUGGUUGUAUGCCACACAUUCCCUAAGCCUUAGGUGUGUUACAAUUUAUUGGGUUAGUGUUUGAUUUAUUAUUGUAAUUAUGGCAAGCCACAUUUUGUUACUUCAAAUGUCAUACACACAAAAUUCAUAGCAAAACAUUCUCACCCUUAUGGCUAAUAAAACAAUGGUCACACUUCGUGAGUUUGUGUGGCAAGUCACACUUGUAAAAAAAUGAGUUAUGACAAGGUUAGGUUAUAACCAAACAUGCCCUUAAUCUCUAUAUCACAAAACCUCUAAAUACUAGCUAAAGUCAUUCAACUUGGAACCUGUAUUUGCUAAAUAAAUGAACAAAAACUUAUGUAACACUCAUAAUCUAAUAGAUAAAUCUAAAACUACAUUAGCAUUGUUUAUUAUACAAUAAGCUCAUCGAAAAAUCAUUAAAUAUCAACCACAUGCUCCUACUUCUAUGGAAAUUGAUUCCUCUCGAAUCAUAGAUUCACUAAAUAGAACAUUCAAAAUAAUCAAAUAAUAAUGGCAUGCUAUUGAAAAAUGUAUUGACCACAUUUACUCUUUAUUCUACAGCAAUGCAAACACGAGAACAUUAAAUUAUAACAACAUGCUUCUACUUGUAUUUAACAAAUCUCUGAUUCAAGCGGAAUUACUUAUCAUAGACCUUGCCACCGUGCUAGUGUGAGUAACAUUUAUUAUCCAACAAAUACAACGGAAGCUUUAAAUAAUCAUUUUGUUAGUAUCAUAGUGCUAGUAUCAUCAUUUUGCUGUAUUUAUAGCGUAACAAAUACAACAAAAGUUUCAAAUAAUAUACACUAGUACCAUCAUUGUCACCAAUGAAUUAAUUGAAAGCCAGCCACACUAGAGAUGGUUUUCAACUAUAGCACACAUGGAGUAAGAGCAUUUAACUAUUUACCAUUAUUUGGCAAUCAUAUCUAAAUAACGACAAACUAUUGAAAGUCAAAGAAAGUGACAUGUUAUUGGGACCGACAGAAAGUAAUUUUGCUUAAACCCAAAAUUCACCAAAGAGAAACAUAAAACCACACUAGUAAAAUGUAUAUAAAAAAAUUAAACCCAAGGGAAGAGACGUUCUAAAUACAUUGCUUUAAGAUAAAAAAAAAAUCCCUAAAAGCCGGUUAGAUGCACCCUAUCACCUUAGCUACAUGCCACGACCACGGAAAACACAUAGCGAUGGACCUUUUUUUUUUGCGUGAGCCAGUAGUGAUUGAGCCCUCGUCAGCGGCCUCACUCGUUGGGAUCUUACCAUCGUGCUAUGAACAACAUAUAUAAUUCAACAAAUACAAUAAAUGAUUUUUAUAUUAUACACCUAGCUUCAUCAUUUAUGAAAACCAGCAAAACCAGAUGUGGUUUUCAACUGUAGCCCAUAGAAAAAGGGCAUUUAAACAUUUACCAAUAUUCGGUGCACACACAUUUACUCCUCGCAUCAAGGCUCUCGCAAAAGUGGGAAGAACAGUCCAAUAGAACAUCAACCAGUGAAGUGUUAGUGGCAGCGGAAGAAGAAACAUGCAUGCAACAAUAGUCAGGAAUUUAAAGCUAGGGAUUUGCACGCACACAGGCCAAAAUACCUUCCAAAUUUCUCUGCGAGGGAGCGCGUGAAUUCCACCCCCAUCUACUGUCCUGAUCCUCUCCUCUCCUCGUCGAUAUAAAUGACGCCCUCCCCCUCGCUGUUGCACCCAUCCCUCUCUGACCUCGAGUUGCAGCUUCUUGUGCUGUUUUGAGCCAGCAUUCGAGGGAACCCAUCGGAAAAGAUCUGAAAGGUGGGGGUUCUAGGAGGGUUUCUUGGUGUUCUUGUAUUGGUUUUGGUGGGUUCUUGCUGGGGGUGCGGAGGGGGAGGGAGAUUUUGGUGGUCAGUCGUUCGUCCAGAUUGGGGUUUUCUUGUUGCUGAUCGUGUUUGUUUUUUUUUUUACCAAGGGGAUCCAAGGGACGAACAUGGCGGCGACGCAGGCGACGGCCGCCAGAAAAUUCCCAGAGGGUUUGCGCGUGCUUGCCGUCGACGAUAGCCCCGUUUGCCUCAUGCUCCUGGAGGCGUUGCUUCGCCGGUGCAAGUACCAACGUGAGUUCUUGGCUUGUUAGCCGAGUUGUUUAGUUAGAUCUUUUUUUUGUAUAUAUUUUUUUCUUGUUGUUUGCUUGAUUUCUGCGGUGGCCGGGAUGUAGCGACGAUGACGAGGGACGCGGCGACAGCGCUACGGAUGCUCCGGGAGAGGCCGGGGGAUUUCGACCUGGUGAUUAGCGACGUGCACAUGCUGGACAUGGACGGCUUCAAGCUUCUCGAGCUCAUCGGCCUUGAGAUGGAUCUCCCCGUCAUCAGUAAAACCCCUUCCUUCACACCAACUUUCCAUUUUUCAUGCAUGUCAUGGCUUCCCUUUCUUGGUAUUUGUCCCUUUUCUCUUGGAAGUAGAUGUCUAAAGAAGUAGGAAGUGUUGCUUUCAAGUAGAUCUGUUGAAUGGUUGUUUGUUAUACAUUGGAUACCACGUGAGAUCCUGUAUAUUUAUUGACUUCACACUCAUACUUGGGCUGAUAGAUGGUACUAGGUUGGAGAAAAGUGGUCACAUGUCUAUUAUGUGCUUGGUCUUCACAUUCAUCAAUAAUAAUCUGAACAUGUAACGGAAUUUCAGUGGGGAUAUUAUGUCGUUGUUUUAUGAUCCGUUAUAGUUGUUGUUUUGUUGGCGUUACUACUUCCAAGUAGAUAAGUAGAUAAAUCAAAUGGUUUGUCGUACAUUGAAUAGUACUUGAUAUUCUGUAAAAUUAUUGACUUCAUUCAUACUUGGGUUGGUAGAUAGUAGGUUAGAGAAAAAUGGCCAUUUGUCUAUUAUGUGCUUGGUCUUUAGAUUCAUCAACAAUAAUCCAAACAUAUGUAUAGCGGAAUUUCGGUGGAUGGAAUAUUAUGUUGUCGUUUUAUGGUCCAUUGUACUUGUUCUUUUGUAGGCGUUACUAUUUGCAAGUAGAUAUAUUGAAUGGUUCGUUGUACAUUGGAUAGCACGUGAGAUCAUAUAAACUUAUUAACUUCACCCAUACUUGGGCUGAUAGAUGGUAGGUUAGAGAAAAAUGGCCACGUGUAUAUUAUGUGCUUGGGUUUUAGAUUCAUCAAUAAUAAUCCGAACAUGUAACGGAAUUUCGGUGGAUGGAAUAUUCUACUGUUGUUUUAGGGUCUGUAGUAGUUAUUCUUUUGUUGGUGGUACUACUUUCAAGUAGAUAAAUUGAAUAGUUUGUUGUACUUAGAUAGCACGUGAGAUCCUAUAAAUUUAUUGACUUAAUUCAUACUUGGGAUGAUAGAUGGUAGGUUAGACAAAAAUGGUCACAUGUCUAUUAUGUGCUUGAUCUUUAGAUUAAUCUGAACAUAUAACAGAAUUUCAGUGAAUGGAAUAUUCCCUUGUCGUUUUAUGGUUUGAUAUAGUUGUUCUUUUGUUGGUGUUAUUGUCGAAUCUGCAUUCGUGUAAUCGUGUUACAUGUAUUGUCCUAUUUUUUCUAUUUAAUGUGCAAAAUAGUAAAACCUAUAUCAUUUGAAACCGUCGAACAUAAAAGUGACCAUAACUGUAGCAUGUCAUUGUCUAGCACGUGUGAAAUAUUUGCUUACAAUAAAAGAUGGGAAAAACAUGUGUAAUACCUUAAAUAUAUUCAAAAGAACAGAGUCCAUAUAUAACUAGCAUCAUCUACGCCACAUUUUUUUUCCUGAUCCGGAUCCACAGGCAACAGUUCAUGAUGCCCAGUUUAUUGAAACAAAUUCUGAUUGCUGACUAUACGCUGUGCAGUGCAAUCCGCAAAUGGGGAGCUUGAAACUAUGAUGAAGGGCGUGACCCAUGGGGCAUGUGACUACUUGGUGAAACCAGUGAGCCUCAAAGACAUCCAGAACAUAUGGCAACAUGUGUGGAGGAAGAGAAAGCUUGACAUAAGGAACCACAAUGGCGGUUACAACGACGGCGGUGAGCUGGUUGGCGCGACGCGGACCAAGAGGAAGUACACAAGGAAGAUGAGAAAUGAUGGAGAUAAUUAUGGUGAGAACAAAGAGAACAUGGAUUCAACUCUGAAGAGACAAAGGGUUGUCUGGACACCUGAGCUGCACCGGGACUUUGUCAUUGCCGUCCAUGAGCUUGGAGUUGAUCGUAAGAGCUCAUGCAUCAUGUCUCAGUUAUCAAACAAUCUUUUUCUUUUUUUCAAUUUGUCUUAAGCAAUAAAUAUUUUGAUUAUGUGAAUGUAGGUGCUGUUCCAAGGAAGAUAUUGCGGAUGAUGAAAGUGGACUACAUGACCAGAGAGAAUAUUGCAAGUCAUCUUCAGGUUUAUAUCUACACUUAUGUUUAAUUUCUAUGUUUCUAUAAUUAAAGAUAUUUGGAUUACUCUUUUCUGAUCGAAAGUGUUCCAUACAUAAACCUUUCAUAUCUUCUUUUAAUGUGUGCACACAACUAGUAAUCAAUUUUUUUGUGAUUUUUUUAUUGUUUUCCAAUGAGUAUGGACACAUCUCAACCAUGUGUUUGCCUUUCUUGGUUUCAGAAGUAUCGGUUAUACCUGAAAAGGAUCAGCACUCAAACAGGCAUGGAUCCUGAUCAAUUUCCUGAAAAAUGGAAGUAUAUGAAUGAACUGGAUGCUCUGAAAAAUUACUGUGAAAAUGGGAGAUACCGUCUAACCCCAGCCAUUGCCUCCUCAAGCUCGAGCAAUCCAUUUGCAAGGAUGAAUUCUGCAUCUGCAUUGGCAACAAAUGGCUUUCUGCCCACUCACUCAGUUCAGCUCAAGAACAGCCAGAGAAACAUGGCCAUGGGGACAGUUGGCCAUGGUGGAAGCCCGGGCAACAAUCCUGUGUUUCAGCCACUGCAGAACUCAUCAAAUGCAAGAAAGUGCUUCCCAUCUGGCCCAUCUGGGAGCUCAUUUGCAAACAUAUCAAAUGGCUUGGUGUUGGAUACAGACGAUUCUGGUAGCUCAUAUGCUGGCAUGUUCUGUAAGAGUAUGUGGGAGACAAGCAAUGGCUCUCCAUCUUGCCAUUCUGGCAACUCGUCUGCAAACAAGUCAAAUAAUGGGGUUUCGGCGCCUGCAAAUCAGUUUCAAGUACAGUCAAAGUUUGGGUUUUCAGCUCUUGCAAAUCAGUUUCCAGUGCAGUCAAAUUGUGGGUUUUCGGCGCCUGCAAAUCAGUAUCAAGUGCAGUCAAAUGGUGGGUUUUCGGUGCCUGCAAACCAGUUUCCAGUGCAGUCAAAUGGUGAGUUUUUGGCGCCAACAAAUCAGUUUCCAGUGCAGUACCCUGAAGUGAAUAAUCAGCCUUUGGUUCAGAUGAAUCAAUCUUCUACAAACCACUUCAGCACAAUUGGCAAUGAUUACCAAUUUCCGGACCUUGCAAACUGUAGCAAAUACUGGCAACCUACAGCACCAUCGAUGUUUCCUGAUCUUGGUCACAAUGAUGGGACAUCUUUCCGCCCGUCGCAGGCGAACAUCGCCAAUAUCAACCAGCUCUCAAGCUUUGCAGCCUCCAGUGGCCAGGAACCGAUGUUUGGAGAUGAACUACAUGGUCAAAUGUCACCAAUCAUGAGCACCAUAUCACUGUCAGAUUUCGAUGAUCAGAUGGGGUCAUUCAACAUAGGAAACGACACAAGCCCAGCAGAGAUGAUGCAUGACAACUUCUCACUUGGUAGUGACUCGAACAUCAGUUCUUCAACACCAACUGAUUCAAGCUUCGGUUCUACAUUUCCUGACUUUCAUCUCGACAGCCCUGAGAUGCCGGCUCAGAUGCUGAAUGGUGGGGAUGAAGAUGGCAUUCUUCUCCCUGUGCUCGAUGACACAGUUGAUCAGCAAGAUCUUUUUGAUCAACUAGAUGAAAACAAUGGUAGGGAAAAACUUGGUAGUGGCCGAUGUGUUAGGAAGGGUCCCUUUGAAUGUUUCUUUUAGAAGAGCAAUUGUAGGGAAAAACUUGGAAGAUUGGCUUGAAAUUGUUUCAAAGGUGGUGAGUGUCAAUUUGAAUGAUAAGCAAGACCAAUUCUUUUGCAAGAGCAAUAAAAAAGGGUUGUUUUAUGUUAACUCCAUGUAUAAAGCCCUUAUGCUUAAUGGUGUAAUACAUAGGAAAUCUUUAAUUUGGAAGCUAAGGAUUCCUUUAAAAAUUAAAAUUUUCCUUUGGUAUAUUGAAAAGGGGGUGAUUCUAACAAAAGAUAAUCUUGUUAAAAGAAGAUGGAAGGGUAGCUUGCUUUGUAGCUUUUGUAACUCUAAUGAGUCAAUUCAACAUCUCUUCUUUGAUUGCAUAAUGGCUAGAUACAUUUGGAAUGCGAUCUAUCUUACUUUUGGAGUCAAGCAACCCCGUAAUAGUUCACACUUGUUUGGAAAUUGGUUAAGAGGUUUUGAACCUAAGCUUAAAAGACAAACUUGGGUAGGCAUAGCGGCGAGUUGUUGGGCUUUGUGGCUCAGUAGAAAUGACUUAGUCUUUAAUGGCUACAACCACGUAUCUUUUUUGUAGGUAAUUUUCAAAGCAACUCAGUUGUCAAGGCUUUGGUCUUUGCUUCUUAAAGAAGACGAAGGCAUUGAAGUAAUCGCGAAGUGCAAGCUUUUAGAGAAGCGUAUGAUGGAGCUCUUCUCUACUUUUGGGUGGAACUUUAGAAGAAGGAUUGAAGCUUAGCUUUUAGUUCCUCUUGCUUGUUAUCCAUCUUUAAAACUUAUUUAUGCUUUACCCAUGUAACGGGAGAGUCUUAUGUACUCGUGUUUGUGACUUUUAGGCUGUGUACACCCUCACAAGGUGUAGAGGCCGGGUUUUUUAUAAUCCAUUAUCUAAAAAAAAAGAUGAAAACAAUGGUUUCAUCACAGGAACAAAUGGUCCAGAAGGGACAGACACCUUGGAUGACAUUGUUGCUGAGCUGUUUAAUGAUGUAAGAUACUCUCCUUUUUCCUGCAGAUCGGCAGCUCGUUUUAUUCUUCUUUUCUCUCUGGUUUCGAUUUUUCUUCACAUACCUGUAGCCAGUAUUCACUACACUGCUUGAUUCAUACCGUUGGUUCAUGCUUAUAAUAUUGAAACAUUGGGCAUCUUUGAAGUAUAUUUCGUUUCGGCUUGCACUUUACACUUGGAAUUCGCUGAGAAGUGCAUCUGAAUGGAACUUAUUUUCUCACUGCAGGAUUUCAUGGAAGGUUAUGAUGCUGUCGUAGAUGGAGACCAGGAUUUUGUUCCUUAGUCCUGACUAUGUGAGAUAUGUUCUGUAUCUGCAUAGGCUAGCUGCUGAUUUAAUCCAUGGCUGUUGCACAUUGUGUGUGCAAAAUUGUGCCAAUUGUAAUAGGCUAGUUAGAAGCAGGUCAUCUUCAGAAAAAGCCCCAUUUCCAUCUAGAGUAGUCAGCUCAACAAAAGAUUUUAGCUUCGUCGUGGUUUUUGAGAUCAUAAAAAAACACAUUGAAGUUUUGUCAGGUUGAACGUGUUCUGAUUGAUGUGUUAGAUGGUUAAAUGGAAUAAUUUUCAUGAAUUAUUCGAAAUGGUGCGCUUUAUCCAGUUUUUAUCUGGCAAUACUUUUUUUUUUUCGGGAAUACAUCUGGCAAUACUGUUCCUUUCUUAGAAUUAUAGAGAUAACGCUUGUUUUACAUGCAUGACCAUUUACUGUGCAGAUAUAGAACCAAUUAUUUACUGGGAGAUAAAUGGAACCAUGGAAUAUUUGGGUGUCACAAUUUCUGAUUCUGACUGGGUGUAAGUGGGUAAGCCGCGAACCCACUUAUAGGUCAAAAUAAACGAGUUUGUGGCUUAUUUUGGCCUAUAAGUGGGUUUCGCGGGUUAGCCGCUUACAACCUUUCUGAGUGACUUAUUGAGUUUCCACUGUAUGUUACCUUAAUUUAAUUUUCUGUCUAACAGCCUGCAAGAAAGAAAAAUUCCUUUUCCUUAUUUUUUCCAUGUAGCCAAAAACAGUUGAUUACUGUGUAGACAGUCUCAUGUUUCGAUUGUCUGUCGCAGUAACUGCAUCUUCUCAUUUUGAUAUCUGUGCAAGGUCCUCGUUGUACUGAUCUAUCCAUCCCUGUAUGAUCUUAACUUCUUGUCUUCGUUGUUCUACAACCCAAUCUGGAUCAUCUUUAGUUGCUGAUCUGAAGUCCAAAUGAUGAGCUCCUGUACAAAUGGUAUCAGCAUAAGUCUGUCUGAAAAUAUUUUGACUUUACACGUUAUCUUCAGAAUCUUGUUUACCUUUCUCCGUGACAAGGGCAAUGAUACUAGAUGAUAUGUUCUUGAGCACCCUGAUUGCAAAGCAGUAGGGAGGGAUAAAUACAUUAUGGUUUGCUACAGCUGAAAAGUUUAUCUGAAUUACUGAAACUUAUAACAUGAAUGAUCAAAUGGUGAAAUCUUUCAGGCAUACCCGCCACGGCUCCAUGGGUCUCGCAUUCCGUUGGAGAAGAUGAUGUUGCUCCCAAACCUCUUGAGCACCAGGUCAAUUCUCUGUAUCAAAAUGUGGAAUGCAACACCAGGUGAAACACUUCGAAAACCUAUCAAUGUUGCUACUACCUGUUCAUAUCUGAAACUGCAAACCUGAAACAACACUCACAUUUCCACCAUAUUCAGUGGUGAUCCAGUGUGGUCUCGGACGAACACCGUAGCUCUGGAAACAGUCAUCAGAUUUCCCCUCAUAAGUGAAGGUGAAUGGAGGGAACAUGCUCUCGUUCGAUAUCGUCAUCGGCAUGACCAUUUCUGUGCAGGCCUGCAAGAGAAGUUGCUUCAGAAAACACAACUAGUAUCUAUCUCAGUAUUGUCAGUGGCAUUGUAUCAAUCACCUGCCAUCCCCAACCACUGAGGCCAUGGGGGUCUUCUCCAUCCUCUAACUGGAAGCAUGUUUGAUCUCCUGUGUAAUUGUAGUACAGACUCGCCGCUGCGAAAGCUUUGUCAACGAUGUCUGCUCCUGCAGGGAAGCCGUGGAUGAUCUUGCACAUCUGUAGAAAUUUCAUGAGAAAUUUACUGAGAACUGAAAUUCCCUGGGAAUUAUAUGUUCAGUGAGACAGAAGAACAGGCAUGGUUUCUGCUCAGCUCAGUUUGGUGUUUCUGACACAAUCUUGGUUAUGCAUUUGGUUGAAAUGUAGAGAGGAGAUUUGGACAUUGUUUGCAGAACAUAGGUAGAGAUGGCAACCUCCUUGAUAGGAUAGGCAGGCAGAUUCAUCAGGAAAUUGGCCGGGGUUGGAUAGUCCACCAUGGCUGUGUACACAAAUGCUGUCCAUAGCCAGUUUCUGAACGAGUAAACCGAUUUCACAGUCCUAAAAUUUGAGGGAGGAAAAAGGCAAUAUUGUGAACUCAGGUUAGUGUAAAUCCAAUCAAUGUCAUUCUUCAUCUAUUCAGAAGUUGGGAAGAUGACCUUUAAUCAAAGAAUGAUCAUGGCUGUCAUAUAUAUAACUGAUAAGGUCUAUGUCAUUUUUUUACAUAAACCUGUUCUGUCUGGUAUCUUAUCUAUCAAUAUAUUAGGCAAUCCUUAUUGCCUUCUUAAAAAUGGAUAAGUUUUAUGCCACCUGUAAAUUUAUAUAGUUUCUUACACAUCACGACAAUGAAGCAUAAUUACUUGAAUUUGUGUGUGUAUAUUAUCCUUUUCUGAAUCUGCAUGCUAUUUUUCUUUUCUUGGUAUUGUUUGGUUGAUCACUUGCACUGCACACAUCUGGAAUAUAAUAAUUACAAUGAUCUCAAUUUUCUGUUUUCCUUUAUAUCUAAUAAGACUAUAAGACGUGGAUAAAAUUUUGGAUAUUCGUGGCACGUUUUUCAAACUACUAAAUGGUGCGUUUCGUGCGAAAACUUUCUAUAUGAAAGUUGCUCUAAAAUAUCAUAUUAAUCUAUUUUUUAAGUUUGUAGUAAUUAAAACUCAAUUAAUCAUAUGUUAAUACCACCUCGUUUUACGUAAAACACUUAAUCUUAUUUUUCAUCUUUAUCUUUAGGAGAAAAGAACACCACCUAGGUAGUGUAUUAAACCAGCAAUAAACUUACUUGCAGGCUCUGAAGGUUUUGCUGAGCUGUAAGAGCCCUGCAUCAGUGGAUCCCCUCUCAUCUAUCAAAUCCCAAGCUGCCUUGAUAACACUGAAGCAAUUGAAGCUUUCAGACUGCAAUAUCAGUUGCAAGUUAUAGUCAGUUUACAAAAAGAUUAAUCGAUGGUCAGUCACACAAAGAUGCCAAAUCUUACUCGGAAAAAAAAUAGAUCUGGUAAAAAAAAGAGUAAACAGCUCAGUCAAGUGGUUGCUUCUAUGAAAUACAUUUUUGACAAAUCGAAGAGAAGAUUUAUAGCCAGUCGCCAAGAAAGCGACUUUAAGGUCCUGUUCUUAAUGUCCGUAUCCGUGGAUUAUUUGUGGAUUAUUCAUACCACACUUUCAAAAGUACGAUUUCUCGACAAACUUUCUAAUAGAUCACUCAUCAGCCCUCUCCACAUUUCAUUGGGCAUUUGGGCCCUUAAAAAGCAGCAACCAUGUCUGUACUCUUGAUAAGCCUAUGGCGUGGUCACUCAAGCGUCGCAAUCUAGCUAAUUAAACAGUAUAAUCACAAUCAGCCAUGCAGGUUGCAUGGUCUUCAGGGCCUUGUCUACCUGAAUCAGGUUGCCAUUUCAAUCCAGCAUUUAAGCUGAAUGUACAUGAACAGUGCAGAGGCUAAUAGUCCAUCAUAACAAAUCCAUCAACUACUAACUAACUAUACCGGCAAAUGCUCAAUGAUCAUUCAUCAUUGGACUUGUAGUGUAGGCAAUCAGCUGCAGGAGGAGACAUGGCUGCCAUGCUUACCAACUUCAAGCCAACACGUACUGUCAGUUACAGUAGAUGUACUGCAUGCUGUGACUGACAGGUCAAAAGAUGACGAUUUUUACUGUACGUGACAACGGUCCAGUGACAAUGACAGUGGGCCACACCUAGAUAUUUUUCUUUCGUCAGAUUUCCAGACAAACUGGCACCGGUCGGUCAGUAGUUGACUUUCAACAUCUAAUGCACAAUUUCCUUAAACAGUUCUAUGAAAUUAUGCAUCCCAAAAUAAACCUGUCCUUGAACAUAAAUAUUAAUUUUGGUUACAAAACGCAUAACUAGUUUUCAUUAGUAAGAUUUGAUUUGGUUAAAAAAAAUACCGAUACCUCACAGUGCCAAAUCGUUUUCAAUCAUUGGAUCUAGCUGGGCAGGAUUGACAUUGUUAGAUUCAACGAUCGAAAAUGAUUUGAUACUGUGAGGUACCAGUACCUCGAGGUAUUUUUUUGUUGGACCGGAGCAAAUAUCAUCAUUAGUACCUUGUAAUCUUGCGAGACGGCCUCGUAGAAGCUGCUCCAUGGAGUUAUGUAGUCGAACUGCAGGAUCGGAGCAGAGGACGCGACGGCGCCAAUGGUGACAUGGGGAUACUUUAGCCUGAACCAUGAAGCCAACACUGCAAACAACAAGCAAAACAACAAAAAAAAAAGGAUUAGUUCAUCCUAAUCUCGCUAAUCCUAAUACGAACAAAACCCCACGACGGCCAAUGUCAGACACGCAGUACAACAAUUAUGGUAACUUUAUGAAUCAUCCGUGUGUUUAUAAUCUAAGAGAUCCAGAUCCACGCCGCAACGAACAAAACAAAAAACACAUGACACAUGCUAAGUUCCUUAAUAGUAACUUUUAACUAUGCAUGUAAAUACAAAGCCUCGUCGUUCCGUUUAUGCUUAUACUUACUUGUAAGUCUAAAUUUAAAUUUUAAAACUUAAUUUUAAGUUAAUUUCGUGGUUUUCCAUCAGAAUUUAUUUUACAACAUUUUAUCUUGAAUCGUGCUAAGGACACGUGUAAAAAUGUUUUAUCCAUAAAUUAUUGUUUUUACUAAUAAAUCGUUUGGAUAAGCAAAUUAGUAGCGGAAAUAAUGGGACUGACAUUUUUUUUAAAUUCAUUUUUAGAAAUAAUGGAACUCACAUUUGUUUAGAUUUAUAAUUAGAAAUAAUGGGACUCACAUUCGUUUAGAUUCAUUGUCAGAGAUUGUUAUAUUAUGAGGAAUGGGACUCACAUUUGUUUAGAUUCAUUUUCACAUUUGUUUAGAUUUAUUUUUAGAAACAAUAGAAUUCACAUUUGUUUAGAUUUAUAGUUAGAAAUUGUUAUAUUCUGAGGAACAUCUAUUAUGAGACGUAAUAGUUAAUUAAUUACAAUGAGAUUUGGAUCAAACAUUUUCUCUAAAAAGAAAUUAGAACAAACAUUUUUUAAAAGGAAAUUAUGAGCAUGUUGAGGAUUGAACGUGAGGCAUUAGAAUUGAAACCACACACCAAUUACCACUGCACUGAUAGUGCAUCUCAAUACGUAAUAGUUAAUUUAAUUAUUGGUGACUUACUGCCGCCGUAGGAGCCACCGAAGACGACGACGGGGGAGGAGACGGCGGAGAGGUUGUGCUUGAGGCUGGUGAUGAGGACGGCGAAGUCGGCGAGCGCUUGCGUCGACGUCAGGUACCCCAGCUUCUCCGGCGAGCUGUUCGACUCGUUGCCGAACGGCUUCGACUCCCCGUAGAAUCGAUGCUGCUUGCUCAAAUCAUGCUCAUCAACCGUAAGUACGGUGUUAAUUCAGUGUGAUUAGUGAUGUGUGAUUGCUUGCCUCGAUGAAGACGAGCAGGGCGCCGAAGCUGGGCGCGAUGUCGAACAUGAAGCCGGUGUUGGUGGCGAACCACUCGAUGUCGCCCUCGUUGCCGGUGUACACGAAUAUCGGCCCGGCCGGCGUCUCGCCGGCGGCGGCGCUCCGCCGCCAGAAGGUGUCGUUGACGAGGUACUUCUGGUAGAAGACGGCCGACGCGUUGGGCGUGAAGGUGAAGUGGUCCAGCUCCUGCGGGAAGUAGUGCGCCGUGAACGGCUUCGCCGCCGCCGCUGUGCCGUUCCCUCCGGCCGCCGCCGCCGCCGCGGCGACGACAUACCUGCUGCCGCCGGCGGAGCUCGCCGGCCGCCGCUGCUGCAGAGCUUGCAGCUGCAGGGGAGGGACUCCGGGGAAGACGGGGCUAGCUGCAGCUGCUGCAGAGGGGGCUGCGACGAGGAGGAGGAGGAGAGCUGCUGCUAUGGCGGCGAGAGGGUGGAGUGGCGAGGCGGGUGCCGCCAUUUUUGCAGCUCGUCCGUCUCACUCGCUCGUGUGGGGGUUUAUUAAAGGAGCAGAGAUGCUCUGCCAUGUCGGGCCCACAUGUCGGUGCCCCAAACGGCAGGUAAGACGUCGGAGUAUGGUAGUACGUAUUUUGUGGAAUCUGUGUCCGGCCUUGCAUAUAUUGCAUGCAAAUCGUUCUGAUGCUUUCGUGAGUUUUAUCCUUAAAAAAAAAGGCGAAUACUAGGAAAUAACUUAAUAUCAAAUAAUUAGAAGGGGUGAUACUUCGAACCCAGAUCGUCUAGCCCACCACCUUAUGAAGUUAGCCGAAAAAUUCUUAUGUGUUUCUCCUUCCGAUUUGAACAAGAAUAUAUACUAAAGAUUAAUUGUCAUUUAAAUUGACGGACUUUGGGUCCAACGACUUUGGAUCAUAGCGUGUUACGUCUGAGCUCUAGGAUAUUGUCAUUUGGUUUGUGGUCUUGUGGACAAUAUCGUAGCCUCGUAGGAGACUCGGCUAUUACAACAUGUAUCAGCAAUACAAUGUGUCCCUGCAUCAAAAGAUACAGCUACCUCUAGCAUUUAAAUUUGUUCAAAAUAUGACUAUUUUUUCUUAUUAAUUUCAACUGAUCACAACAAUCGCCAAUUAAUUUCUUCAUCAUUUUCUUAUCUCAACCAAUUACAACCAUUCGCCACAUCACUUUACCUACUUUAUUAAUCUUCGUGCUUGCAUAGUUUCAAAGGUAGGAGUAACUAUAUUCUGGGAUGGACAGAGAAAAUGAGAGAAUGUUUAUGGUAGUUGAUCUUAAACGCAUUUGCUCCUAAGCCUCUUUUGGAAUGCAAGGAAACUCAGACACAAAACAUGGAUAAAAUUACAGAAAAUAAACUAAUCUAUAUAGCAUACUAUAAAAAUUCUUACAUUUUAAAAAGAGCACCUAAGAUCGAAAGGCUGAAAAUUAUUUCGAGGCAUGGAACCCCAUUUGCCUUUAUUAAAGAAACACGCUCUCUACUAGUACACAAGUCCGGAUAUCGUCCACACACAAGGUGCCGAUGCAGACCGGCUGCAUCAUUCCUAACGCAACCGGACGCUCUAGAGUCUAGAAACAAUCAACAAGAGAGAAAAUUGGCUUCUAGAGUGACAUGGACAGAUUGUUUGCCUGUUGAAGCUUGCACAUGUGGAUUACCUCGAGGAUAAUCCCCCGAAAUGUGGGGAAAAUAAAGUAAUUAAAUGGUCUCUCUCUCUCUCUCUCUCUCUCUCUCUCUCUCUCAAAUGACAAAAUGAUCUCUUUUGUGUAUAUAUCAUUAUCCUAAGCAAAUCCAGUUGAUCAUAUUCAGUCAUGGGUCCAUUCAUGUUGUCCAAUCCAAAUCAGCUGCAAAGCUAGGCUAAGCAUCACGCGUCAAAGGCGUUUGGAAUAUUUCAUCCAAUGCGUGUAGUGUGUGGAAACAUAGGAAUUAUAAUGGUAUUGGGCUGAUUGAUUGCUUGCACAAGGCUCAUCUUGCCUCUUAUACGUAGUAGAUGCAGUGUCUUUUCAAAAAAGCUUUUUUUCUUUCUUUGUUUGAUGGAAAAGCGUUUGCAGGUUAUCAGUGGAGUGAGCCAGAAUGACCUCACGAGUUUGUUUGAUGAAAAAUGUUCCAUUUGUCUCGUAUGUGGUCAAAAGGAACAUGUAAAUUCCUGCUUAAAUUGGACCCUUUUCAUGUACUAAAUAAAAUACAUGCAUUCGAAAACUUGCAAUUCUCCUGUAGAGAUCAGAUAGAGACAUCUCAGUGCAAUCAAGCAUCUUAGUGACAGGAAUCUGCCGACGGGGCAGGCUGAUGAGGGUAUUGUUUGAGCCCAUCAUGUGGCCGUGGACUAGUUGGGCUUUGUUUGGGCCCACAACUGGUGUCAAUGAUCCCAAGAUUUGACCUUCAGCUGCAAAAAGGAGACAGCUCAGAGCUCCAUCAUAGCGGCAAUCUACGUUGCCAUGAACUUCUGCACGGCUAAAUGUUUUGCCCUUUCCCUACUCUCCCGUGCUCUAGCGUCAGCUUCAGAAACAAAAUCUACUGCCAAGUAAACGUAACAAAUGCACCUCAAUUGAUUAGGUUUUCUACGAUGAAAAACAACCCAUCCAAGUUUAAAUUCUAAACUUGACAUAAAUGCAUGCUCAUAUUUAUGAUUAGUUAAUUUUUUUCAAAGGUAAACAAUAUACCUGUUAGUAGCGAGACAUCCAUAGUGGCAUCGUCAAUCUUUCAAACUAGUCUUUCGAAGGUGUUUAUAAGAGUAAGAAUAUGCAUAUUUAUUUAUAAGGAUGAGUAUGCGUGCAUUGUGAGCGGUUGCAUUUAUAUUGUGUUUCUCAUAAAAAGGAACAAAAUUUACCCACAUCCCAAUGAGCGAGCGUGGUAACUUAUCAAUCUCAAUAUAUAUCGGACCAAUCUUAUGAAGAUGCUAACUUAGGAUGGGACAUUUAAGAACCUAGGAUGGGAGGUUCUUAUAUUUUGGGACGGAGGGAGUAUUUAUUAAGAUAAGUGCGAUUCGUUAUGAACAAUUGUAUUUAUACCAUGUUUCUUACUAACUCCGUCCCAAAAUAAGUGCAGUCAUGGAUAUCCGUGCCCAACGUUUGAUCGUCCGUCUUAUUUGAAAAAAAUUUGAAAAUAUUUAGUCAUACAUAGAGUACUAUUCACGUUUUAUCAUCUAAUAGCAAUAAAAAUACUAAUCAUAAAAAAUUCAAAUAAAACGAACAGUCAAACGUUGAACGUGAAUAGUGCAAAACUGCACUUAUUUUGGGACGGAGGGAAUAAAAAAUCUACUAACGUCCCAAGGAACGAGCGUAGACGGUGACAACUCGCACGUCAUUAGUUGCAACCGUACAUCAUUCCCGUGCUACAGGGCGCCCCUUGAUCAGUCGUGUCAGAACACUCUGCUGCAAACGGUCAAAAGAAGCAGGUUACCACCAUGUCCACUAGUGAUGGUUACCACCAAAAUCUACCCAGUUGACGAACGCACAGACAGUGUCAGUCAUCACAAGGCAACAAGAUACUCAAACUGACCUUGCAAAAAGCUCAGUGAUUUUUCAAUCACUCGCUGCGGUCCUGCACAAGAUCUGGAAAUCUAGGCGUCGGAGAGUCCCCAACUGAUCAUGUGAGUGCAUGAAAGCACUAAGCAGACAAUGCUGUGCCACAGCAGUGGCUUGUACAAUGCAGCAGUACAGCAGAAUAGUUGAUCAAAUGAGUGCAAUAGUGGAUCAAAUGAGUGAUGCACUUUUACCGAUAAACACUGAAGGAAUAUGAUAGCGAUAAGAUAACAGAUCCACUAUAUAGUGUCACCCAUGAAAGAGUUGAAACCCUAUAAUCAGUUCCACAGUAAACUCCAACAAGUGCACGGAUUUAGCAGCAAAGAUCAAAUAGGCUUUUCACUCUUAAGGCAAAUAUGAAGGGUAGAGCUAUCAGAUUAAUAUACAAGGCACGUCAGAUCACUAUUACAUCACAAAUAUUGCAUUGGCAAAUAGUUCACUGCCAAAACCAUAAUGCCGGUUGUUGGGAGAAGACAACAACAAUAAAACAAAACAAGAAAAAAAGUGCUGGUAAAGGCCGAAGAUAAAUAAUACAUAAAAGGAAGGCUUAUUUUGUUCUUUGGAACUAUGUAUAUACAAGAUGGUGGCCUUGUUUGUAACCUGUCUAAGUAGGGAAAUCAGCACAGACAUGUGACAAUGCUCAAAGCAUUUUAUCCCGUGAUAAUUAUUAUGAGGAUUUAGAUGGUUGGUACCUCCAAUUUGCAUGAAUCCUUUCUGUUCGAAGUCUGCCAGGAAAACAAAACAAUGCGAUGUGUAUGUAUAAUAAGCGUCAAUACAAAUACAGAGAAUAAAAGAAACUAAAACUUGCAAACUAUCAAAAUAAGAGGGGAGAUUUUUGCCUUUCGCCACGGACUUGUUACAUCAUCUCAUACAUGCCACUUGAUUGGGUCAGCGCAACAUGUAAGUGCAAAUUCAGUGGCAUAAAUGAAAGUAAAAAUGUGUUUUAUGAAUCCGAAAAAAUCAGUUCUAUACAAUUAUUAGCUUCUCAGCAAACAGAAAAAUACCAGACAUGGAUCUAUACAGAUACAAUACAACCAUAAGAAACUAAGGACUGUUUUGGGCAAAACAUGGUUGAAAACAAAGAAAAUGUACUAGAAUGGCUCAGGUUAACCCAAACUGUCAAUUCCCAACAGUUACAAAUGCCCACGGUUCUGGCAACAUGUACAUACUACCUCCGUCCCUCAGUACAUGAACAAAUGAGUAGAAUCAUUUAACAUGUACUAACAAGAAAUAGCUGCAACCGGUAACUUGCUGGGGAGCAAGGCCUCCUAGUAUGACAGCCGAUUGAACAUAUUACCAAGGAACCAAGGAGAUGCCAAAUGAUCUCCAAGGGGCAGUCAAAUCAUCACAGCCACCAGUUCCAAAUGCCUGUGUGGUUACAACCGUAAGAAACUAAGGACUGUUUUGAGUAAAACAUGGUUGAAAACAAAGGAAAUGUACUUGAAUGGCUCAGAUUAACAACUGUCAAUUCCAAACAGUUACAAAUGCCCUUGGUUCUGGCAACAUGUAACUACUCCCUCCAUCCCAGUGUACAUGAACAAAUGAGUAGAAUCAUUCAUUAUAGCAUGUACUGACAAGAAAUAGCUGCAACUGGUAACUUGCUGGGGAGCAAGGCCUCCUAGCAUGACAGCUAAUUGAACAUAUUACCAAGGAACCGAGAAGAUGCCAAAUGAUCUCCAAUGGGCAGCCAAAUCAUCAUAGCCAUUCAAGAAAUAAAAAAAUAACAAACAAUGAAAUAUGCAUCCACAGAAGUAUGCUGUGAAAGUAUGAAACAACAAAAAGAAAGAUCACGCUAAAGCUAACUGAAUAAACAGUUAACAUUCCUUUAUUAGUGUUACAUUACUUAAUUUUAGAAAAAAGAAACAAUUAAGCUCCUAUGAGCAAGUAUUGUCAUCACCGUGCAGUAAGCAAGUUAGACUACAAGUAUUGCCCUGGUACCAUAACAUCCCCCCAUUUAUGAUUUAUUCAUUCUGGGAAGACUUCGUGCUCAUUAAAGUGCCUGCUGGUAAAAAAGUAAGAACUAAAAUACCAUUGAGCUGAUUACCAACAGGAUAUUGCAAUGGGUAAAAAGUAGCAAACUGCCAUCGCGAGACAUGCUUGCUAAUUUGCCAGAGCACUGUAAAAUGUCGGUUGUGGGAGAAGAUAACACGAAUAAAACAAAAGGAAAUAAGUUGCGCUGAAGUGCUGAUAAAGACUGAAGAUAAAUAAUACACAAAGACGACUAUUUUUUGGUCGGUAGGGAUAUCAGCACAGGCAUGUGACAAUGCUCAAUGCACCCAUUGGAAAUUAGUAUUGAGAAUUCAAACGGUUGGUACCUCCAAUGGGUGAAUCCUUUCUGCUCUAAAUCUAGCCAGGAAAACAAAAUGAUGCAACGCGUUUGUGCAAAUUCCGUGGAAUACAGAAAAUAAAAUAAAUUUACAAACUCAAAUAUCAAAACAAGAGGGGAGAUUUUUUGCCUUUCGCCACUGGAUAAGAUCAAGGCAACGUGCAAGUGCGAAUUCAGUGGCAUACAUGAAAGGCAAAAUGAGAUUUAUGAAUCCAGACAACUCGGAUCCAUACAAGUACAACCAGGAAAACUAAAGACUGCUUUUGGGUAAAAUAAUGAUUGAAAAGAAAAGAAAUAUAUUUGAAUGGCUCAGAUUAACCUAAAUGGCAAUUCCAACAGUUCUGAAUGCCCGUGGUUCCGGCAACAUGUAAGUACUCCCUCCGUCCACUUUGUACAUGAACAAAAUGAUGAGUAGAAUCAUUCGUUAUAGCAUGUACUGAGAAGAAAUAGCUGCAACUGGUAACUUGCUGGGGAGCAAGGCCUCCUAGUAUCACAGCUAAUUGACAUAGGCAUGUCCUGUAGCAAAAUUUGCCUUGAACAUAUUACCAAGGAACCAAGAAGAUGCCGAAUGAUCUCCAAUGGGCAGCAAAAUCAUCACAGCCAUUCAAGAAAUUAAAAAUAACAACAUGGCAUUUUCUGACAUUUAAGGUGGUGUUUGAAUCUCCUGAAGAUGAAGGCUGUGUUUAGUUCACACUGAAGUUUGAAAGUUUGGUUUAAAUUGGAACGAUGUGACUGAAAAGUUGUGUGUAUAAAAGGUUUGAUGUGAUGGUAAGUUGGAAGUUUGGAAAAAAAACUUUGGAACUAAACAGGGCCAAAGAUAAAGAUUAAGUGUUUCACGCAAAACGAGGUGGUAAUAAAGUGAAAUACUAUGCCACUGCUUCAGAUAUCAAUGUUGCAUUUGCUGACAUUUAGUAGGUAUAUGCAGAAUGGAAUGACCCUUUCCAUGUGAAAAUCAAUCACCAAGAAAACCAGAUAGAACAAAACGGAAAUAUUAGGGAAGGACCUAAUAUCAAAUAAUUAUAAGGGGUGAGGCUUCGAACCCAGGUCGUCUAGCCCACCACCUUGUGGAGUUAGCCGGAAGACCCCUAGGCGUUUCUCCGGAUAGAUAGAACUGAACCCCAUAAAACCAUUCGUCCGUAUUACUCCAAAUCCCGUUGCAAAGCACGGGCAUAGCACUAGUGCAUGAAAAGAAAAAGGAACUGUAGCCAAUGCGAAGAAUACAAAUGCUUGAGGAACACAACUGCAUCGAGCACCUUCAUUGGGCUCAGCUUCGCCUUUGAUCAAUCAAAUAACCCAACCCCCACCAUCCCUUAUCACCAGACCUAUCAGUUCUAGCGGUAGUGGAGCUACCCUGGUUAUCAUUCGAAACGAAUGACCAUCCAAGGACAAAGCCACUGGCAUUAGCACAUGACUAGAAAGGCUCAAAGGGGGUAGAGGGAGGGUCCAAUUUAAUACCCACAGCAGCCUCAAUUGCUUGAAGGCAUGCUUAUUUCAGCCAAGGUCGAUCGUCAUCGCCCUCUGUGUUCAUUGCGGACCAUACGUAGUACCCUGCCACAAAUACAGCAUAUGCUGAUGCGAUCACCAACACUAAGAGCAAGUAUAAUAGUAUAGCCAGAUCUACAGCCUGAUUUUCUUCUUCUUCUUCUUCUCUCUCUCUCUCUCCUCCAAUUGUACCUGCUCUAACGAGCCAAGUCGGCUCAAGCUCACGACGACGACCAAAACCCCCAAGAGUCCACAGCCGAUCCGGACACCACCCUAGGUUCCAAUUGCCUUCACUGCACGGCGGCGGCUCACCUUAGAGAUGGGAAUCCGGACGCUGCGGCCUCUCGGCGGAUUGAUCGUCGGCAAGCUGUGGGAAGGAAUUCCUGCGAAACCCCUUUUAACAAUGGCAUAAUCUCCAAUUUCUCGUCGUCAGCAAGCAACUGCACUUGACAUUGGGUCGGUUAGGGUAUAAACACACAAGCACACAGCACACGGUGCGCCAUAGAGGCCGUGAGGGAGAAGGACGAGGAAGAGAGAUUGUGGUGGUGAUGACCGAAUCUCGAAAACGUGGCUAAAAACGAAAUCGAAAGAAAAUCCAUGGCGAGGCGGCUCAGAUCUCACCUUGGCCGACCCGCCCUCCCCUUACCGGAAGCCGCGGCAUCGCCUCCCCACCGCCCCCACGGUCCCCGAUCCCCCAACGCCGAUGCGCCCCGUGGCGGCGCGGACGGGGGGAGGGAUGGCCCCGCGAAGGCGGAGGGUUCCGACGCGCGCGGCCGCCGCUCGGGGAGACGCGUCCGCGCCAAGGGCCGGGGCCUCCUCAUCGCCGCCGGUGUUCCCGAGAUGGCCGCGGUCUCGAUCGGGUGGUGCGGUCAUCGGCCGCCGCGAGCAGGACGGACGGAGCGGCGAGGUCGAGUACUCGCCGUCGCCGGCGCCGCCGCUCGCGGUGGCCUCACACUUAAACUAAUGAUGAGUGAGCGGCGGUGGAGUCCGCGGCGGAGGGUUUUGUGUGGGGUUUCGGGAGGAAGACGAUGCGGUGACGUCAGCCCUGUCCACGCGUCGCGUCAGGAGGGCUGUGAGGAAUAGAUCCAACGGACAGGAUUAGCGCCGAUUACAGUGGAGGCAGCAGAUUGAGCCCGACUCGGUGGCAUAGAACCACGGGUGGAUUCAAGUUAAUGCAUUUUGGUUGAAAUUUAAGGAAAAUUGGUUGUGUGACAUUAAUAGAUGUCGAUUUCCAAAAAUAAACCAUCAAAAGAUUCCAAUACUUAGGGGGCAUGUACAACGGUCUUUAUUAGUGGUCUCUUUCUAUUGUCAUGCAAUUAAAUUCGAUGACGCUCUCUAUUGUCAUGCAAGUAGAUUCGAUGACAUAGAAGAAAGAUAAAGGAGUAUGACAUAGAAGAAAGAUAAAGGAGUAUGAUUGUUAUGCAUGACAACGGCUCAGAAUCGACUCUUAACAUUUAUUAGAGCAAAUUUUGUUGCAUGGUGAUGAAAGAAAGGAAAGAAGAGUAAGAAAAAGUAUUUUGAUACAUUAAUGAUUAGAGACCAUAUUAUCUCUAACUGUUGUAGGAUGCUAGUCUCUAGAUAACGUAGAGCUCAUUUCUGACUCUACCUUUGUAUAUGCCCUUAUUCCCAAAAACACUCAAUUGAAAUAUUACAAUAUUUAAAAAUAUACCACUUUAGAUGUUUUACACGUUUCCUACCAUGUGAGCAAGAAAGUGGUAGAUAGGGCACAAUCUCUUUCCCUCCCGCUCUCCACCUUACUCUUUCUCCCUCUAUCUCUCACCACCUAACAACACAAACAAGUGACGACAAGAGCCCUCCAACAAAGCCCCUUCUCCUUCCUCCAGCCUUCCUCCAGCGAACUCCAAUGAAAGAAAUGGUGCAGCAAUAAACUAAGCACCUUACUACCUCCAAUAACAUCAUUCCUCUAGCGGAUUCCCUUCGCCCUCUUUUGACGACGCCAGAUCUAGCUCUCAACUCCAAUACCUCCCUCUUCUGCUUCCACCGCCACCACCUAGCCUCGCCACCGCCAAAAAGUAUCAAUGUAUUGGCUUUGCCUUCUCCCUCUCUCCUUUGCCUCCCUUUGCCACCACCGCCAAUGUCGGCCCAUCGUCCGCUGCCGACCCUAUGCCUUCGAUAGCACCGCCACCUCCGCCUCGCCCCACCCUUAUCCGCAAGUCCAUCACCUCCAAAGCCAAUCUAAGCUCAGUCCCCACUUUCCCUCUCCAAUAGCUAGCCCUUCCCCUCUACCCCACCCUGUCCCGAGCUUAACAUCACGUGAUCAAAAACCACACGUGACAUAACCCUGGCACGCGUAUAAAUUAGGAUUCCUGUCUAUUCUGUGCCUCCACACCAUGAACUUUCUUUUGCCCUCGAGUAUUGCAUUGGGAAACGAGAGAAACCUGAAAAAUGUUAAGAGAAAUAGACAAUGAUAUAAUUUACAUGAUUAUAUCUUUUAGUGGUAUUUAAAUGUACAUAUUUCUAAAAUCGAUUUUUUUUGGUGUCAUCGAACUAAUUUUCCCUAAAAUGUAGAGUCCAUAUCUCUCAAAUGGCAGUGAACGAAUGAUAUCUCGAGUGGCAGUGAACGAUUUAAGUCAUUGUAGUGGAAUAUAUUUUGAGUUUCUUUAAAAAAAAGAAAGAAGAACACUCCGCAAGCUGCCGUGCUAGACUACAUAAAAGAACUGACUUUUAUAUCCUAGUUUAAUAUUAAUUAAAUGUGAUGACAUUGUAAAUCUUAUUACAAGAAAUUGGUCUAAACCGAACGCGCAUUGUUGUAUUUAACUUCAAAGUUCAUAAGAAUACUCCCGAUGACACCGUUGAUUUUUUCUUAUAUCUUUGACCAUUCGUCUUAUUUAAAAAUUUUAUGCAAAUAUAUAAGAUAUAAAUCAAGUACUAUGAGUGAUAAAACAACACAUAACAAAAUAAAUUAUAAUUACGUAAAUUUUUUGAAUAAGACGAAUGGUAAAACAUGUGAAAAAAAGUCAACGGCGUCACAGAGGUACACAGAGGUAGUACUACACCGAGUGCAUUUUGAUUAUUAUGCUUCCUCCAUUCUGAUAAUCACAAGCGCAAAGUAUUCCGUUGCGGACAAGUCAAGACAAUGUUAAAACGUUAAUUCCAUUGCACCAUCAUUAAAUCUAAGUUUGCUACAUAACGAGCAUAGAUUAUUGUUAAGUGAAAAUGAGAGAAGAGAUAGAAGUGCUAACUACAAAAAUUUCAAACUGUUGCAACUAAAACAAGAUAAUAAUGACAUAAAAAUUACAACCGUUCAUUCCAGCGUGCACCACUGGCAAUGCCUGCUGAUUUCAUCAUGUGGCAUUAGCAACAACAAUUUGUCAGAAAACUGGUUGCAUAUCAUGGAGCAAAACCUCCAAAUUUAGCCACAAAAUUCCCUCCCCAGAAAAAGAAACAAUUAGCCAAAGCUAACGAGGGACUAACAGAUGAUGUUGAAGUUACAUCCGUAAUAAGCUGAAGCCGAAGAUUCGCAAAGCAAUUCACACAAGUCGAUGGGUUCGUCCCUGGGGCCAUUACCAACAAACAUUUUGCCAAGACUUCGUGCUUAUUAAGGCGCCUGCUGGUAAAACUGUAAAGAACAAAUACCAUUGGGGCAAAGCAUGGAUGAAAACAAAGGAAAUGACUUGAAUGGCUCAGAUUAACCCGAUUGCCAAUUCCAAACAGUUUAAUGUGCCUGUGGCUCCGGCAAAAUGUAAAUACUCCCUCCGUCUCUCUGUACAUGAACAAAUGAGUAGAUUAGCAUGUACUAUCAAGAAAUGGCUGCAAGCCUGCAACUGGUACCUUGCUGGGCAGCAAGGCCUCCUAGUAUGACAGCUAACUGAACAUACUGCUAAUGAACCAACAAGAUAUUUAUUUUAGAUAAUGGAUUAAAACAUGGCCUCUACAUCCAAGACUGAUGUACAUGGCCAAGAACGAGAAGAUGUCAAAUCUUCAAGGGGUAGCCAAAUCAUCACAACCAUUCAAGAACUAAAGAAGUAACAAACAGCGAGAAGAUGUCAAAUCAUCUUCAAGGGGUAGCCAAAUCAUCACAGCCAUUCAAGAACUAAAGAAGUAACAAACAUCAAAAUAUGGAUGAACAGGAGUAUAUCCUUAAAGUAUGAAAGGACAAUAAUAAUGAUCACACUACAGCUAAGUUAAUAAAUAGUCAACAUUCCAUUCCUUAAGAAAAAAAGGAAUGAAUAAACUACAUAGAAAUGAAGAGAUAUUUAACUAUUUACAAGUGGCAAUUAAGGAUUUGCUACUGGAUCCACAAUGUCUGUCAUAGAUUGUGAGUAACAAAUUCUUAAUUGCCACAUCUUAAAAGUGGCAAAAAGUUAAAUGCCUCAGCAAAAGCAAAACUUGAAAGAGUUCCAACAUCUCGCAUAUGCUACUGUAUAUGAACAGGGCGACAUGCAAAUGACAACUGAGUGGCCUAAAUGGAAGUCAAAAUGAGAUCAACGAAUCUAAAAAAAAAUUGUUUGUAUAGUAAUAUUAAUUUCUCACCAAACAGAAACAAUACCAGAAUACCAGACUCAGAUCAUUACAAGCACAGCCAUAAGAAAGUAAGGAGGUAAAACAUGGUUGAAAACAAAGGAAAUAUACUUGAAUGGCUCAGAUUAGCCCAACUGUCAAUUCCCAAUUGUUACAAAUGCCUAUGGUUCUGGGCAACAUGUUGAUAGUACUCCCUCCGUAACUCCGUACAUG
rnacentral:lncRNA from 1 species